UAUUCGGAAAUAUGGAAGGUUCUCCUUAUCUGAAGUUUUCCUUUUCCCGGGGGAAGGGGGGCGGUCCCUGGGACUGGACGUGGAGUACUUUGUAGCGGGGAACCGGGGUACCUCUUAGCGGGGACUCAGAGGCCGGUGUCCUGCCGGGGGUCUGGAGAAAUUCAAUACCUGAGUAUUUUUCCCCAACAGUUUGCCCCUUAUUGCUCGAUUUCGUCAUCGAAUUCGGAGAAUAACCUGUGCACGCAAGUCAACCGGAGUUGCUCAUUCUCAGCAGGCUUCCCAUAGGCAAGACAUAGCUCCAGUAAUCCUGUGAUCCCGGGUUCCACUCAGGCUGGAACCACACUCUGAACCCGGGGCAGGAUCGGUUCCCUUAUUCCAGACCGGGGUCUGGCGCUAUUGAACCGCUGAUUUCUUGUCGAAGAUGGAGAAGCUCUGGGCUUCUGAUGGCGUCUUGGAGACAGCGAAGCCUGGAACUUUGAUGUUUCCUGAAGAGGAGUUCUAAAGGCUUGAUACGUGGGAAAUGAUCAGGAGGCUGGUGCCCGUUUGGUUGAUGAUACUUGGUGCUCUUCUUACUCUUCAAAAGCGCAUAUAUUUUAUCGAAACUUUCCUUUUUGUAGGAAGGAUUUCCCUUUUUUCUGCAAGGACUGGAUUUCCUUUUCGCUGCUUAUCCUUCAAGUCAGGGAUUCUUCAGAAUAUUUGGGAACAUCCCUAUUUCCUUUUCUUGCCCCGGAAAAGGGAAUGACCCGGAUGUAUAUAAGGACUCGCAAUAUCUCCUAACUGGCCUCAACCUAACCUCAGCAUUGAUUCUUAAUUGAGAAAGAUGAAUCCCGAGUUGCUCAUGUUUCCGUCCUCACUUGUGGGUGGUCGUCCAAGGCUGCAUCGUCCUUUAACCGAUCCUUUUUCAUCCCAUGUUCCUGGGGAGACGUUCCGGAGGCUGAUAGUGAAGAGGUUCCGUUGGCGUCCUGGAGAAGGCUCCGUUCUUGUUUCUUCGAUGACGGUCCCCGUUCUGAGAUUCGAGAGGGAGACCUGGCUAACAUGAGGAGUAAGUAUGCGAUUUAUCCUUCAGUGGCGAUGAGGAGGCCGACUGAGUUCGAACGCUCUCCAGAUGGGGGAGCGGGUGAGGUAGCUGUCUAUGAGGUAUAUCUGGAAGCAGGCUUCCCGGGCGUUAUCCCUUCUCUUAUAGGCGAAGUAUCAUCUUUCUUCGGUUUCUGUCCUUCUCAACUUACUCCUCUAACAUGGAGGACUUCAAUGGCCAUCCAAGUGCUUGGGGGAACUCCACGGAUUUUCUGUCGGGGUGCAUUAGACUUUAUACUCUUAUUACUUUGCUCCUCUGAUGAAUAAAGUGGGGUUCUAUCACCUUCGAUCCCGUGAUGUCACCCCUCUGGUCAAAGAACCCUCGAGGGGUGUCAGGGGCAAUUACCCCUUUGGGGAUGGUUGGAACAGCCGGUAUGUGUUCGUGAAGAUCCAGGAGCCGGUUGGUUAUCCUACGUAUUGGCGUACCGUUGGUAAGUUGAGAAGGACAGAAACCGAAGAAAGAUGACACUUCGCCUAUGAGAGAAGGGAUAACGCCCCGGAAGCCUGCUUCCAGAUAUGCCUUAUAGACAGCCACCUCACCCGCGAUGGCCGCCGAUGCCAACAGACAAGCCAAACACUGCGACCAGUGUCAGUGGCACACUCCAGUUUCCAAGCUCUUUCCGGAGAACCUCAAAUCGAUAAGCUCGCUGUGGCCCUUCAGAAAGUGGGGCAUGGACAUAGUAGGGAAAUUCCCUAUGGCGCCGGGGCAGAAGGUCUUCCUUAUGGUAGUCACUGACUACUUCUCCAAGUGGGUCGAAGCAGAAGCACUCAACCGGAUAACAGACCUCCAGAUCCACAAAUUCCUGUGGACAAACGUAAUCACUCGCUUCGGGGUCCUCCACGAGAUCGUCACCGACAAUGGACCCCGGUUCACGAGCCACAAAUUCAAGGAAUUCUGCAAGAACUGAUGCAUAAAGCUCACCUUCGCCACACCCCGACACCCCCAGUCUAACGGACAAACCGAGUCCACGAACAAAACCGUGGUCAACAUGAUUAAAAAUCGACUGAAGGGCUCUCACGGUAAGUGAACGAUAGAACUACACGGAGUCCUGGGCCUACCGGACCACUCCAAAAACAGCAACAGGAGAAACUCCCUACUCGCUGGUCUACGGCUCUAAAGCCAUAAUACCCACGGAGAUGCACGUGAAAACAACAGUCUCAGGAGGAGAACAAUGAGCUGAUGGCACUGAGCCUCGACAUGCUCUAUGAAAGAAGAGAGGCUGCUCGGCUAAGAAACUGGUCCUACCAGCAAGAUGUCGCCAGGACAUACAACAAAAAAUGUCAGAACCAGGACCAUCCAGAAAGGGGAUUGUGUUCUACGACGAGCAGAAAAAACAACGGGGAAACUCACCCCCGGGUGGGAAGGACCCUAUAAGGUAAUCGAGGUGCGGAGAGCAGGCGCCUAGAGGCUGCAAGAUAACAAAGGUAAAAUACAACCCAAUUGCUGGAACUCCAGAGACCUCCGAUCCUGGCCAACCCUUUCAAAAAGUGGCACGCCUACAAAAUCAAAACAUGAAUGAGUAUGUGCAAGCCUGAGUAUGCUGUCGAAACUACCUAAAACCCCUGUGCAGCCUACGGCGCAUUGGGGUCCCUAGAGUACCAAUGUGAAAAGUACGUGUAUUAAAACGCUACGAGCUACACAAUACAGGGAACACAUGGUAUAUUUAUUGCAAAGGUGUUGUGAAAUACAGGGAUCAAUCAAAAUCCUGCUUCUCCAGACGUGGAAAGCAGUGAAGCCUGGCACUUGGGUUAUGUUGGGGUCGAAAACAGUUACAACGAAGUUAACUUCCAAAUCCCCGAAGAAGAAAAACGUAGAAACCUUCUUCGACAAACACUUUUUCGAAAUAGAUUCUUCUUUACGAAAAUCUUUGCGGAGGAAACGCGAGUCAUCGGACAAAGAUCUCGAAAAGGAUCGUUAUGCAGCGACCGAGCACGUGCUCCGCUCGGUCGCUACGUAGCAACCGAGUUCGUGCCAAGGCUCGGUCGCUACGUAACGACCGAACGUCCAUCCCGCUCGGUCGCUACGUAGCGACCGAGCUUUGGCUUGGACUCGGUCUCUACGUAGCGACCGAGCGGGACGAACGCUCGGUCGUUCCGAAACGUCGAUAUAACAUUAGUCCAUGCGUUCUCGUCUACCCUUCGAUGCUAUCUCCCGAAGACCGUAGCGAACCCAUUUAACGAUUCCCCACCAUUCUAAGUUAUCGAUCAAACUUUACCGUAAAAACCGCGGAAAGUUGGUUCUUUAUCGAAAGAAGCCGUAAUAAACGUUUCGAGUCGGAAGACGGCCCAAAGGGACCUAAGACAUGAUUCGAAGCCCAACUUAUGAUUUCUUAACCAAAAACCCGUAAGCCGCAUGACGGUUUACGCUUGGUUCGCAAGGAAAGAUAAAUGUCAAGUUUCCGCGGAUAAAUACGAAAUUUUGAAGAUAAUUACAAAGAUCGGAAAAAGGGAAUAUCUCCAUUUUUAUGCUAUGACGGCUUAAGGGCAGAAGGGGAAAAGCGUAAACCGACCUUGGAGCCAGUAUAUAAGGAGUCCUAGGCGAGAGGCAUGAGAGAGGACUUUUGACAGCAAACUUAGCACUUAGAGCUAUUUUAGGCAAUUUUCUGUUUUUGUUAUUCGAGCUGCGACUCAAUUAGGUUUUUGCCGUUUUAGGGUUUUAGAACUAGGAAUCUCGCCGACAGCUCUCGUAGUCCAGGCACUUACCUUGUUGUAAAAGCUCAAACGCAGAUUCGGAAUAAGAACUAUCUUGCUCUCUUUUUCGAUUUCUUAUUUUAUUACUAUUCUCGUUUCGUGUUCUGAUUGCUUGGUGUGUGGUAUUAGCAGAUAUCCGGGACCUCUGGGAAAUUAGGGUUUUCCUAGUUUCCUUAUUUAAACGGAAAUCGACAGUGCGAAUUUCGGUUCCCACAAUUUUGCGCUAGAAGGAGGGGGGGGGGGUACGGAUCAAUCUAACUCUCAACCACAUCACGCUCAACUAGACAUGUCAACUGACGACACGAAUAACGUGCAGACUCCUCUUAACGGAGUCGGCGGCACUGAUUUCCACACUCCCGCAGCGGACAUAUACACGGCCAACGCACCAGCCAACGCCGCGGCGCUCGAGAAGUUCAAAAAGAUGUUCGCUACCUACCAAAAAAGGUCGGAAGAACAGGAUAAGCUUGUGAGCACCUUGACCAAACAAGUUGAAACUUUAACGGCAAGGACUCAAGCAAUCCGCCCCCGCAGAACCACUAAAGUCUGCGGGAAAAGACUCGACUUUGCAACCCCACUCAAAAGGCCUGGAGCCGCCCAGGAACGACCUUCGGGUCGAAACCCUAGCGAGAAAUCUCCCAUCGAAAAGGGAAACUCUGAAAGCCCUCCACCUCCCGCGAAGGUUUCGGAGGACAACAGAGUCGAGCAAGUCGACCUGGAUCCUUGCGAUGUCUCCAACAAUACUGAUGAGGACGUUGACAGACAUCCAAGAAGGACCAGAAGCUGAUUCACUCGGGAAAGCUCUCCGUUCGACAAACCAAUGACAGAAGAGGAGGAAAUCCUCUAUUGGAACGAACAGGAAGAGCUGGCUGAAAAAACCGAGCUCACUCACAGUAAACACUGACAAGCACGGAAAUCUGCUGACGAGACGUCGGAGAUACGCGAUCUUCGCGACUAUAUCACCAAGACCGCGGCAGAAGUAAGAGCCGUAAAAUCAAAAAUCCAUCACGCUACUAGCGCGGCCCCCGAGAUCGACAGGCUGCUGGAAGGGGCUCGGAAGACCCCUUUCACCGCUCGCAUCUCAGAUACGAGGGUAUCCGAUCCAGGAAAAAUCAAAGUACCGAAGUAUGAUGGUACGCCCGAUCCGAGAGCGCACCUUUAGGCUUUCCACAUCACGAUGGGAAGAGCGAGGCUGAAGGACGGCAAGUGAGACGCCGGCUACUGCCGCCUGUUCAUCGAGAAUCUAGAAGGAGCAGCCCUCGAAUGGUUCGCGCCCCUUAAGCGAAACUCUAUCGGGAGUUUCCGACAGCUCGCAUCAGAAUUUCUCAAGCAAUACUCUAUGUUCAUAGAUAGAGAAACUUCCGAUGUCGAUCUCUGGAGUCUGUCCCAGAGGGAAGAGGAACCCCUCCACGAGUUCAUCAGCCGAUUCAAGUUGGUAAUGUCCAGGGUCUACGGGAUAAGCGACAAGGUGGCCAUCGAUGCGCUCAGAAAGGCGCUCUGGUACAAGUCGAAAUUCAGAAAAUGGAUAUCCCUCAAAAAACCGCGGACGAUCCAAGACGCCCUCCACAAGGCGACGGACUACAUCAUGAUCGAAGAAGAAACAAAAAUAUUAUCGCAAAAACAUAAGUCGGCGAGAUCGUCCUCAAAAGAUGUAGACCCAAAAACGAGGAAGAAGAACCCUCGUAACGACAAGUACGUCCAUCACGAGGGGGAAGAAGUCCAAGGAGCGCAUAAUUACGCGAUCGGCUCAGACCAAGGCCGAACCACGGGUAAUACGUGGACUCGCAACCAAGGAUACGAUGAAAACACCUUCUGCGAGUUCCACCAGUCCCGAGGACACUCUACGACUAACUUCGAAGUCUUGGGAGCAAGGCUGGCCGCGAAGCUACUAGCCGGAGAACUCUCAGAAGUGACCAGCGUGAAAGAUCACAUCCUCGAGACCGAUCGCCCCCCAAAGCCGGACAGAAAUCUUCCCGCGGAGAGAUCUCCCCAAAGAAACCAAUCUGGGGAUAAACGCGGCAGGAGGCCAGACGACAAAGGGAACGAUAACAAUCGUCGUAGAGUCAACAUGAUCAUCGGAGGAUCGCAAUCCUGCAACGAUACGGUUUGGCCAUCAAGGCUUACCAGCGGAAGGCGGAGUCAAGCGCAAACUGGCCUACAUGGUCUCCUACCCGAGAUGAUCAGAACUGCUCAAUCACCUUCACAAAGGAGGAAGCCGGCGGGAUCGAUCAGCCUCACUGCGAUCCGCUUGUCAUAGACCUCGUCAUACGAGAUCUGGAAGUCGGAAGAGUACUCAUUGACACGGGAGGCACGGUCAAUGUAAUCUUCCGCGACACUCUCAAUCGGAUGAGCAUCGAACUCGGAGAAGUAACUCCAACUCCGAAACCGCUCACGGGCUUUUCGGGCGAAGUAUCGAUGACCCUCGGAUCGAUCCAGCUACCAGUCAUGGCCAAGGAGAUCACAACAAUCGUCGAGUUCGUGGUAGUCGAUCAUCCUGCCAUCUACAACGUGAUCAUGGGAACCCCAUGGCUCAACACUAUGCAAGCCGUUCCAUCGACGUACCACCUGGGCGUCAAAUUCCCGACCCCAAACGGAGUCGCAGCUAUCUGGGGAUGUCAGAAACAGUCGCGACUAUGCUUCCUCGCGGAACACAAGUUAAGAUAGAUGACAACCUCUGCAACGGCAAAUCUUAUACGCACGAAGAUCGAUAAAUGUUCGACCAACAACGUUUCGAGAAAAGACGAUUUAACAUCGUCUGCUGACGCAGACGCUUCGGGCGUCGAAACUCAACAUGAGUCCGAAGCCGACACUACAACUAAACCGGAACAUCCGGAAGAGAACACUGACCCAGCCACGAUCAUCUCGAUCAAGGCGGUCAGCACGGCGAUAACCGCCGAGUGAAAACGCUCGCGGCAUAAAACAGAACUACGAGAUGGCUUGAUCCUCGAAAUGGGUACGUAGGCAGCUCGUCGAAAGACGAGUUCAGCUAUCCCCAUCUCUAAAAAGCUGGGGGGGGGGGAGUGGGUGCGUAUACUCCUAUACUCCCACAUAGGAAAAGAUGCGUUAUUGUAAUCGAUUUCUAUAGAGAUUUCGAAAAUUUUUACGAUCAAUAUGCGUCGCUCCUUUUUAAGACAAAAUCGCAAAACAAUCUCACUUCAGCACCAAAAAUAUACGUAUAGUCUUCGAAAUAACUGCGAGACGUCGCCAAGUUAAAAAUCGAGAUGAUACGAACAAAUUGUCCGAACGCGACCACUACAAAUCCUACACUCCGUUCGUCGAUUGGCCCCGACGAGCACAUCAGCCGUCUUAAACAAACGCAACUUGAUCACUCUUUUGAUCUUCAUAUGUCCAACCCAAGGACGAAAGCGCGCUACAAAAAAAAUCCGAAAUUUUGGUCUAGCACUUCCAGUUGGCUUAAAAAUUGUCUCUGGAAAGAUGCUCGAUUCGUACCAUACAAGUCGUAUAAGCCGAGAACCUAUCGCGGACUUUAAAUCGGUACGAAUCAGGUAGAAAUCGCAACAGGAAAACCGAUAGCCGGCUAGUCACCGCACAAACCUUAAAACCGAGAGUAAACCUAGGUCUUGCCCUAAACCCAUCGCAUUGGUCUCAGACAUCUCAAAGACAUGAUAUCUAAACGAUACGAGAUCCUAAAACAUGUCUCUUCGUUCAUAUCUCAACGUUCCCGAAAGAUCGUAAAUAAUUUUUACGAAAACUCACGUCUCGAACAAACUAACAGAUUGAACGCCUCAACGAAGAUAAAUAUGAGACGACAACUCAUGUUUACUUCAAAACCCACUCUAAACAAAGUAACUCAAACAAACAUCCGUUAUAUAAACUGCAUAGCGGUAGGGGUUCAAUGCCACCAACGGCCAAUCCCGACAAAAACGCCCAAAAUAGGCCCAUACAAAGUUCGAAAGCCACACUCGGCCAGACAUAUAUGAACAAAGGCCACACUCGGCCGCUAAAUACUAGAUAAAGGGAAAAACUCCUUCCCGUCAAAACACUCACUGAUCAAAGUUAAAACUCCCGGACAAGGAAGCUCCGAAUGCAUCCGCGGGAAAGUUCACUUCCUCAUCGUCACCGGCAAAAUCAGUCGUAGUUUCUACGGUAUCAGGGGAAACCGGGAUGGGAUCCCAAAAUCCCUGAAUCUUCCCAUCGAUCGGAGGAAUGGUCGCCUCAGCGUGAGCAUGAUCCUUCAUGCCACCCUUCAUUAACUCCAUCUCCCUCUCGAAAACGUAGUCAUCUUCCUGCAUCUUCCAAAGGCUCCCGAUGGAGCCGCGACACUCACGGAAGUCACCCAGCGAGUUGAAAGCGCCCUUAAGAUUCCCGUACUCAACCUGGAAAUGAGAAGCACGAGUCUUCAUCACCUCGACGAUUUCCCUCAUGCCUUUCCGUUCCGCCCUACGAACAGCCCUGGCAUGAUCACGAGCGAGUUGAGCUUCUCGCGCCAGCAUCUCGUCUCCGCCUUAAAGUGAUAGAUCAUGGCUUCUCUAUGGCUCGCCUCAAUGGCCAAUCCAAGCAAGUUCAAACACUAUAAAGCCGAUUGACACGUUAUAAGCAAAAAAUAAUAAUAACGAUCGUCAGAAUUCUUUAAGUUUAUACCCCGUUAAUGAUACGAGAUCCUUCCGCAACAACUUUUGGCCUCCCCGACUCCCUCGUGGCCUGAGGAGCGUCAAAAGCCGAUGAAAGACCAGCGAAGAAAUCAUCGAAGUCCGGAAUAGGGACCUCGCUCGUACCGCUUCCAUGGCCGGAAGCUAGGUUCGGAUCCCAUCCCGGAAGCAUGCAGUCGUCCACAGAAAACUCCAGGUCGCCGAGAUCAAUAUCUUUCCCCUUCGAAGAGUUCGGCCCUGUCACAAUCGUGGGAGCGGCGUUGGGACCUUGGUCUUCAGGUUCGGAAUCACUCCUUGUUUCUCCGCCCAAAGCAGGACCAGGAUGUACAAACCUCAGCGCCUUUCGAACUCUCUUCGGCGUAAAGGAUGUCCCGAAAAAAGGACCAUUCCUGAGCAGAUCCCUCAUCGCAAUAAUGUCCUCAGGAAACGGAGCAAGAGGGUUGAUAAAGGGACGAUCGUUCGGCAACCUCCGAAACAGUGGGAUACAACUCUCCUCAACGGACGCUGCGUCUACACGGACGAAGAAGAAAAACUUCCUCCACGAGUUGAAGUUAGAAGUGAACCCCUUUACCACUGACAUGAAGUUCCGAGGAACCAGCCUGUAUGUGUCCGUGUCCCUGAUGAUCUGUAAUCGAAGAAGCGCUUCGAAGUGCUCAACGGUGAGAGAGAGACCAUGCCCGUAGCUCAGGAUCAGGAUCCCUAUGAGGUGCUGGAUGCCAAGAGGAUUCAGUUGGCUUAUCGCCACCCCGAAACGUCCCAACACACGGACGAUGAUCUCGGAGAUCGGGAACCACAAACGGCAACGCACUAUGAAUGCCUCGUAACAAGUAAAGAAGCCCUCCGGGAGACUACUAGCGCAUUCUCCUUGACGAGGAACCCUGAAUUCCACCCCGUCCGAAAUAUGGUAGAACGACCGCAUGACCUCGAGGAAUUCACUGGUACUCCUACUCGGCGCACCUGCCUCCACCGGGCGAUGGUUCAUGACCGGGAACGAUUUUUCUUUGGGAGGCGUGAUCGAACCGUAACACGCCACCCACCAUGCCUUGUUCUUGGCUGGGUCUGCCGAAUGAGGAACGAAUUACAUCUUCGGAACUCGAAGCUGUUCCGAAAUGUUCGCGGGCAAGGAACCUUUCUUCGAACUCCUCUCCUUACUCGACAUCUCGUGUUUUUCUUUUAAAAUCAAGAAGGAAAUGAUAGAGAGAAAGAGAACGAACUUUUCAAGAAAAACCUCUCUAUGAGAAUGAGUAAGUGUGAAGAUUGUGAAGAAAUUACCUCCCUUCUUAUAGGCAUGAGAAAUUACUAUUUACUUGCGGAUUUUUUGACACGAACGUCGCCCAAAUACACCAAUCUCGUCCGAACUCGCCAUACCGCACAUUGGGACCUCGCUAGAAAUCCACGCUCCCAACGAGCUGGGGGACUAACUGUCGGGUUCGAAAACGGUUACGACGAAGUUAACGUCCAAAUCUCCGAAGAAGAAAAACGUUGAAACCUUCUUCGACAAACACUUUUUCGAAAUAGAUUCUUCUUUACGAAAAGCUUUGCGGAGGAAACGCGAGUCAUCGGACAAAGAGCUCGAAAAGGAUCGUUACGCAGCGACCGAACACGUGCUCCGCUCGGUCGUUACGUAGCAACAGAGUUCGAGCCAACGCUCGGUCGCUACGGUCGCUGCGUAACAACAGAGUUCGAGCCAACGCUUGGUCGCUACGUAGUGACCGAACGUCCAUCCCACUCGGUCGCUACUUAGCGACCGAGCUCGAACCAAUGUUCGGUCGCUACGUAGCGACCGAGCUCUUCCGAAAUGUCGAUACAACAUUAGUCCAUGCGUUCUCGUCUCCCCUUCGAUGCUCUCUCCCAAAGACCUUAGCGAACCCAUUUCAUGAUUCCCCGCCAUUCUAAGUUAUCGAUUAAACUUUACCGUAAAAACUGCAAAAAGUUCGUUCUUUAUCGAAAGAAGCCGUAAUAAACGCUUCGAGUCGGAAGACCCAAAGGGACCUAAGACAUGAUUCGAAGCCCAACUUACGAUUUCUUCACCAACAGCUCGUAAGCCGCAUGACGGUUUACGCUUGGUUCGCAAGGAAAGAUAAAUGUCAAGUUUCCACGGAUAAAUUCGAAAUUUUGAAGAUAAUUACGAAGAUCGGAAAAAAUGGAAUAUCUCCAUUUUUAUGCUAUGACGGCUUAAGGGCAGAAGGGAAAAGCGUAAACCGACCUUGGAGCCAGUAUAUAAGGAGUCCUAGGCAAGAGGCAUGGGAGGGAAUUUUACACAGAAAACUUAGCACUUAGAGCAAUUUUAGGCAUUUUUCCAUUUUUUUUUGAGCUGCGACUCAAUUAGGUUUUUGCCGUCUUAGGGUUUUAGAACUAGGAGUAUCGCCGACAGAUCUCGUAGCCCAGGCACUUACCUUGUUGUAAACGCUCAAAUGUAGAUUCGGAAUAAGAACUAUCUUGCUCUCUUUUUCAAUUUCUUAUUUUAUUACUGUUCUCGUUUCGUGUUCUGAUUGCUUGGCGUGUGGUAUUAGCAGAUAUCCGGGACCUCUAGGAAAUUUGGGUUUUCCUAGUUUCCUUAUUUAAACAGAAAUCGACAGUGCCAAUUUCGGUUCCCACAGGUUAUAACACCCACACCAGCAAUGUAGAAACCUGUUAAAAAAAAGUGAGAGUGGUCAAGUAUCUUUGUGGUGGUCGAGUCGCGGGCGAUAAGGAUCGAUCAUAAAUGUUGAAGAACGAGGUGUUUGAACAAUUGAUCGUGAGUAAACUAUGAGUCGAAUAAGCUGCUCGACCAUAGUUAGAAGAUAUCUAAGAUUGAUCAGACAGACGUUUUGGAAGCAUCACAUUUUUGGAAGCAAGACGUUUUAGAAGAUCGGCGGUUAAGAAGCAUGAUGUUUCUUAACCACAAAAUAAUCCUCAAAACUUCGUAUCGGUAAUAUAUUAUGUUGGAAACUUAAUAAGUUGGAAGCAUGCCGGGAAUUAAGCAGGAUGGGAAGCAAGCAUGACUGGAUAGUAGCACGACCGGAAAACCCAAAAUUGGACGAAAACCCUAAUUUCGGUAUUAUGAAUUUUUCGAGGAAGCCGGAGGAUUGAAAAAUAUUUACCGCCAAGGUCAGAGUUCAGAUUGGACUUUAUUAAAAAUAUUCAGCUCAUCAGGACGGGAGCAUAAAAAUCUUCGGGGUUAAUCAUGGAUCAAAAAUUUUCUGGAAGGACCGAAAUCAGGCCAAUGGACCGAGAAGCUCGAGGUGGCUCGUUGCAUGGGUUCAGAACGUGGUGUCAACCAUAUAACAAGGAGUGUCUACAGAAGCUUGAGGUUUCGCCGUGCAAGGAAGCAGUACAUGCAGCCUGACAUGUAGAAGCACGAGGUGGAUCGACCAAGGACGAGGUGUCUCCGCGCUUGCAACCGAAGCAUGCUGAUCGACAUGUGUGAGAUGGUGUGUCGCCUUUCACGAUUUCCAGUCAUGCAGCCCAACAUCUGGGAGGAGUGGUGGCGUCAUGCAUGUGUCCUGGCCAUGCUAAAAGACAUGUGGAGCAUGAGGUGCCGCCGCGUAUGCGUCCGGAGCCAUGCGAAGCGACGCACGGGCUGCCACCAACCUGAAGCUGAUUGGUUGCUGUAUUCUAUAAAUAGGCACGACCUCCCUUCAGUUUCAACACAUCCAGACCUGUCCAAACCAAGUUAAAAACGUAAGAGAAAAGUAGAAAAAGAAAGCAUGUGAUUCCGAGCUAUUUCGAGAGUUUUAGAGAGUUUUCGAGGUCAGUUCUCUACUGAUUUCGAGUCAGCGCCUAGGGAAGGUUCUGUCCAACUGAAGAUCAAUCAAGGGAAGAUCAGUUCAGAUGGGAAGUUAACGUGACUAAAGAGAGAUAGAGAAAGUGGUCGAUGUAGAGUAUGGUCGAUUCUGAAAGCCGAUACUCCACCGAGAUGGCCGGUUCCAUCCAAUCGACGAUUCUUUACGAUUGUGACGCGGAAUCUCUGUCCAAAUCAAUCCGUCCAGGCCAGUCUGUUUCUUUGAUGAUCAAGUGAAGGUUCUGUCCAGAGUUAGUUCAGAUCCACGGGUUGAGAUCAGUCGAAGUUCUGCUCGAUGCCCCGCCGGGAAGUCCGAAGAACUGUCCAGAAGCUAAAGGAGGUUCUGUUCGAGUCCAGAUCACUCCGUACAGGCCUGUCAGUUUUACAUGGUCAAGCCGAGGGUCAGUCCAAGUCUAGAUCAGUCAAGACGUUCAUCUUGGGUUUUUGCCAAGUCCUCUCCGAUCAACCAGCUGCUUCUCGCCUAGAACACCGUGAGUUUGUUUUGUGUGAAUUUCAUUUGGAAUUGAGGGUAGAUCGAGUCGCAUAUAGAUUAGUAUGAUCACGCUAUUGAAUGGUAGAGUCCUUAGGGUUAUUUUAUUUAUGGAACUUGACUCAGUUUAGCACGGGCUAAGCUGAGGUGAAAGGAAUUAAGACUGAGUUCAUAAUAUUAUUGCGUGUUGAUAUGGUUGAGUGCUGGUUCCCGUUAUCUUUAAAGAUCGUUUCAUAGCAGGAGGCGGACUAUCUGGGUAACGGUUUGAUUGAGUUGUUUAGUAUUGAUAUUAUUGUUUAGUUGUUGGUGUUAGUGGUCUUAGGCCAUAUAGGCCGGAUUACUGGUACUAUUGGCUUGUGUUCUAGAGUUGAGAGUCUAGUUAGGAUCUGGAACUUUAACUUUAGGUUAGGUUCUAGAUUGAGUUUGCGCCGUGUGAGUUGCCGACAGUAUGUGCGUAACCCGCCCAUACUAGGCUUUUUUAGGGGUGAUUAGUGUUUCCUCGGCUUCGUACCCAGCGGGUUCAAGGAAAUCCCUUAUUCUUUGGAUAGGGAAGACUCAGACGAAUGGGGUCAUCUCCUAUGGCUGAGUAUUACACGAUGGUGUAAUGUGGCAGUGACCCGAAGGACUGUGGGCUGUCGCACGGUGACCCGAAGGACAGUGGGCCGCAGUCGGUUGAAAGUUCCUUCUUCUGGCCUUUGUGGUAGGAAGAUAGAAUAUUGCCGAUGGAGAGGAGGAACACGAAGUCACCAGGGCCCAGGUUAGAGUGCUGUGUUAGAAUGUCAUAGAGGGUUAUGGAACCCUUGAGUAAGUGUAGCACCGGUAUACAGUGUUACAAGUUAGAUCGAGUCAUAGAUGCUCAUAGUCUUAUUAUUGUGAUUGUGGUUGAUUGAUUUGCUUGCAGGUUUCUGACAUUAAGUCGUAAUUCUGGCUCAGGUACCGGAUUAGGCUUCGUGAGUAUUUCGUUUGUGUAGGCCUGACGUUGGCAUGUAUGUGUUUGAGUGAUUGCUUGUAAAGGGUGGUGGAUAUUAAAGCUAUGUGGUAUCAUUGGUUGAUGUUCUUGUUUGAUUGUUGGUCGACCGGUUAAUGAUACUUGUAUAGUCUAUGUGUCUAACACUACAUGAGUACGGAACUCAGGCGUAUACAUGAUUAACUAGGGAUUGGCUGUUGACUUGUUUUAAUGUAUGUUCCCGUUACUUGAAGCUAGAUCAUUGCAAGAGGCCAAGUCUAACUUAGUAACGGUUUGCAUAGCCUUAGCAUUUAUUGAAUGCUAGGGCUAGAUGGAUUGUUAUUUUGGGUUUUCUGGGUUAGAGUCUAGGUUGCGGGUAGUGGCCAUAGCUCACUGAGUAGCAUUAAGUUACUCAUCCAACUCUGUUGUCCUUUUUGCAGGUCGCUUUAGGUAAGGCUGAUCGGAUAGCUUGGUGCUGGACGUUAGGACCGCCAGAGUAGAUUUCAUGCCUUUUGUAAAUGGUAUUGUGUUAUGGGUUUUGUUGGCUCGAUUUGGCAUUAGGCCGGGCCCAGUCUUGAAUUAUUCUCUGUAUUAAUAUUUCCUAAAUCAAUAAAGUAAUUGUUUUAUAUGCGCUUCAUGAGUACUCUAAUAUUUGACUACUAGUCCGGUCUAGCACAACUUUAGGUUAUGGUACGGGUUGAAAACCCUUAGGCCUUGAUCUAACGGAAAACUCUAACUCUUGGUAUUGGUUGCAAAGCCUUCGGCGUUGACUUAGCGGGACGAGUUAGUGGAUGAACUGGUCUAGGUCGUGGAGUAAAUUUUGUGACUCUGACCGGUUCGUCCCUAACCCAUAACGUAGUGCUUCCGGACCAUGGUGUUGGGUUGGACGGUCAGUCAUGUUCUUGUUUGAUUGUUGGCUGGCCGGUUGGCUCAUUCAUCUCCAACUCUGGGUGUGGGACGGUCGAUCGGUCAUGUUCUUGUUUGAUUGUUGGCUGGUUGAUCGACCAUAUGUCUAGGACGGUUCGGGGGUGUUACAAGCACCCUCUAAGCCUGUCAGUGACUUCCUGCAGAAGUAGAAUACAUCAUAGGAACUCGAUAGUGGCUAGCUUCCGAGCGGCAGAAUGCAAAAUCCAAACAGAUACCGGUAGUAGCCUUGCCUAGGAAUGCGGAGUACGGUCCCUGCGAAAAGCAAAAUAUUCCGGGCUCCCAAGGAACUCCGUGUCCUUAUGCAAGCUCCCGAUAUAAAGAGGAAACCCAAGGUUCCCCAUACGAUUUUGGGUCCUAUGUAUAGAAUCUGAGGAAGAACCUCCGGGUUCCCUUAUAGCAUCCGGGUUCCGAUCAAAGAUCUAAGGAUAUAAGGAAGAACCUCCGGGUUCCUAUAUGGCUUCAGGGUUCCAAAGACGAAAUCAAAAAGAAGCUAGAACCCAUGUGCAGCCAAGGGCGCAUCAGGGUUAUCACAUCCCUAAGAACCUCCGGGUUCCCAUGCGACCUCAGGGUCCAAAUACAAACACCAGGGUCCCCAUACGAUCUCCGAUCUAAAGGAAAACCCUGUGCUCUUACACGACCUCAGGGUCUGAUCACGAUCUCGAAAACCUCCGAGUUCGGACUAUGUUCUCCGAAUCUAUCAAAGGAUCUGCGGGUUUCUAUACCGCCCCCGGGCUCCAGCCAUGAUCCCAGGAUCUAGAGAAGGACCUCAGGGUCCCAAAUAAGACCUCAUGGUCUAGGGGAACCUACGGGUCCCGAAUAUGAUCUCAGGAUCAAAGGAGAACCUAUGGGAUCCUCCACGACCUCUGGGUCCCUAGACGACCCCCAGGCCCUCACGUAACCUCCGUUUACGAGAUCAAUCUUCAGACUCCAAGAGUUCAUAUUUUAGCUCAAAACCUCCGGGUUUAUAGACCAUCUCCCGGGAUCCUACUAUUCAACCUAAGGAAAAAGAGGGAUCAUGGGCUACAAAGUCCCACCUCGAUCGGGAAACAGGAGGAAGGAUAUCCUCUUAAGAAGAAACAUGUAAAACACUACUAUCAGAAGCAUGCGAAGCAAAAGGAAGGAGUAAAUAAAGGGGAAAAACUAUGAAGCUUCAUUAUUCAUAAAAUGAAAGGGGGCUACAAAGAGCCUUUAUUCAAAAAAGCAACAAAACCAGAGUCUCAACAAAUAAAGAAAGGAAUCAUUCAGAAAGAAGGCUCUCCGAAAAUCGCGACCCUACAACGGAUCUCGGGGUUGCAGCCUAGGAGAAGCUACCCGACUGAUGGUUGAUCCCUCCAGAUAGGAACAGAUGACGCCAAUACUCUUAUUCCGGAUUCCAAUGUUCCACAAGCUUUUCCAGCCAUUCCUUCAUGAGCGCCCAUCUAGCCGAGGCUUCCACUUGCUGAACUAGUAAAUCCAGGCAAGCCAUCAUGUCCUGCACCUGGCUACGAAGAAGGAAUACCUCACCGAUCAAUCUCCGGUGAGCAUCUGUGUUGGGGUCGAAAACGGUUACGACGAAGUUAACGUCCAAAUCCCAGAAGAAGAAAAACGUAGAAACCUUCUUCGACAAACACUUUUUUGAAAUAGAUUCUUCUUUACGAAAAGCUUUUCGGAGGAAACGCGAGUCAUCGGACAAAGAGCUCGAAAAGGAUCGUUACGCAGUGACCGAACACGUGCUCCGCUCGGUCGCUACGUAGCAACCGAGUUCGAGCCAAGGCUCGGUCGCUACGUAGCGACCGAACGUCCAUCCCUCUCAGUCGCUACGGAGCGACCGAGCUCGAGUCGAAACUCGUUCGCUACGUAGCGACCGAGCUCGAGUCGAAACUCGGUCGCUACGUAGCGAUUGAGCUCGAGCCAGAGCUCGGUCGCUACGUAGCGACCGAGCUCGAUGGACGUUCGGUCGUUACGUAGCGACCGAGCCUUGGCACGAACUCGGUUGCUACGUAGCGACCGAGCGGAGCACGUGCUCGGUCGCUGCAUAACGAUCUCUUCCGAAACGUCGAUACAACAUUAGUCCAUGGGUUCUUGUCUACCCUUUGAUGCUAUCUCCCGAAGACCAUAGCGAACCCAUUUCACGAUUCCCCGCCAUUCUAAGUUAUUGAUCAAACUUUACCGUAAAAACCGCGGAAAGUUCGUUCUUUAUCGAAAGAAGCCGCAAUAAACGCUUCGAGUCGGAAGACGACCCAAAGGGACCUAAGACAUGAUUCGAAGCCCAACCGAUUUCUUAAUCAACAGCCCAUAAGCCGCAUGACGGUUUACUCUUGGUUCACAAGGAAAGAUAAAUGUCAAGUUUCCGCGGAUAAAUACGAAAUUUUGAAGAUAAUUACGAAGAUCGGAAAAAAAGGAAUAUCUCAAUUUUUAUGCUAUGACGGCUUAAGGGCAGAAGGGGAAAAGCGUAAACAAACCUUGGAGCCAGUAUAUAAGGAGUCCUAGGCGAGAGGCAUGAGAGAGCACUUUUGACAACAAACUUAGCACUUAGAGCGAUUUUAGGCAAUUUUCUGUUUUUGUUAUUCGAGCUGCGACUCAAUUAGGUUUUUGCCGUCUUAGGGUUUUAGAACUAGGAAUCUCGCUGACAGCUCUCGUAGCCCAGGCACUUUCCUUGUUGUAAACACUCAAACACAGAUUCGGAAUAAGAACUAUCUUGCUCUCCUUUUUUCGAUUUUUUAUUUUAUUACUUUUCUCGUUUCGUGUUCUGAUUGCUUGGCGUGUGGUAUUAGCAGAUAUCCGGGACCUUUGGGAAAUUAGGGUUUUCCUAGUUUCCUUAUUUAAACGGAAAUCGACUGUGCGAAUUUUGGUUCCCACAGUUUGGCGCUAGAAGGAGGGGGGGGGGUACGGAUCAAUCUAACUCUCAACCACAUCACGCUCAACCAGACAUGUCAACUGACGACACAGAUAACGUUCAGACUCCUCUUAACGGAGGCAGCAGCACUGAUCUCCACACUCCCGCAGCGGACAUAUCCACGGCCAACGCACCAGCCAACGCCGCGGCGCUCGAGGAGUUUAAAAAGAUGUUCGCCACCUACGAAAAAAGGUCGGAAGAACAGGAUAAGCUCGUGAGCACCUUGACCAAACAAUUUGAAACUUUAACGGCAAGGAAACGAGCAAUCCUCCCCCGCGGAACCACUAAAGUCCGCGGGAAAAGACUCGCAUCGGAAUUUCUUAAGCAAUACUCUAUGUUCAUAGAUAGAGAAAAUUUCGAUGUCGAUCUCUGGAGUCUGUCACAGGGGGAAGAGGAACCCCUCCGUGAGUUCAUCAGCCGAUUCAAGUUGGUAAUGUCCAGGGUCAGCGGGAUAAGCGACAAGGUGGCCAUCGAUGCGCUCAGAAAGGCACUCUGGUACAAGUCGAAAUUCAGAAAAUGGAUAUCCCUCGAAAAACCGCGGACGAUCCAAGAUGCCCUCCACAAGGCGACGGACUACAUCAUGAUCGAGGAAGAAACGAAAAUCUUAUCGCAAAAACAUAAGUCGGCGAGAUCGUCCUCAAAAGAUGUAGACCCAAAAACGAGGAAGAAGAUCCCUCGUAACGACAAGUACGUCCAUCACGAGGGGGAAGAACUCCAAGGAGCGCAUAAUUACGCGAUCGGCUCAGACCAGGGCCGAACCACGGGUAACACAUGGACUCGCAACCAAGGAUAUGAUGAAAACACCUUCUGCGAGUUCCACCAGUCCCGAGGACACUCCACGACUAACUGCAAGGUCUUGGGAGCAAGGCUGGCCGCGAAGCUACUAGCCGGAGAACUCUCGGAAGUGACCAGUGUGAAAGAUCUCAUCCUCGAGACCGAUCGCCCCCCGAAGCCGGACAUUAAUCUUCCCACGGAGAGAUCUCCCCAAAGAAACCAAUCUGGGAUAAACGCGGCAGGAGGCCAGAUGACAAAGGAAACGAUAACAAUCGUCGUAGAGUCAACAUGAUCAUCAGAGGAUCGCAAUUCUGCAACGAUACGGUUUCGGGCACCACGGCUUACCAGCGGAAGGCGGAGUCAAGUGCAAACUGGCCUACAUGGUCUCCUACCCGAGAUGAUCAGAACUGCUUAAUCACCUUCACAAAGGAGGAAGCCGGCGGGAUCGAUCAGCCUCACUGCGAUCCGCUCGUCAUAGACCUCGUCAUACGAGAUCUGGAAGUCGGAAGAGUACUCAUUGACACGGGAACAACGGUCAAUGUAAUCUUCCGCGACACUCACAAUCGGAUGAACAUCGAACUCGGAGAAGUAACUCCAACUCCGAAACCGCUCAUGGGCUUUUCGGGCGAAGUAUCGAUGACCCUCGGAUCGAUCCAGCUCCCAGUCAUGGCCAAGAAGAUCACAAAAAUCAUCGAGUUCGCGGUAGUCGAUCAUCCUGCCAUCUACAACGUGAUCAUGGGAACCCCAUGGCUCAACGCUAUGCAAGCCGUUCCAUCGACGUACCACCUGGGCGUCAAAUUCCUGACCCCAAACGGAGUCGCAGCUAUCUGGGGAUGUCAGAAACAGUCGCGACUGUGCUUCCUCGCGGAACACAAGUUAAGACAGAUGACAACCUCUGCAACGGCAAAUCGUAAACGCACGAAGAUCAAUAAAUCUUCGACCAACAACGUUUCGAGAAAAUAUGAUUUAACAUCGUCUGCUGACGCAGACGCUUCGGGUGUCGAAACUCAACAUGAGUCCGAAGCCGACACUACAACUCAACCAGAACAUCCAGAAGAGAACACUGACCCAGCCACGAUCAUCUCGAUCAAGGCGGUCAGCACGGCGACAACAGCCGAGUGAAAACGCUCGCGGCAUAAAACAGAACUACGAGAUGGCUUGAUCCUCGAAAGGGGUACGUAGGCAGCUCGUCGAAAGACGAGUUCAGCUAUCCCCCUCUCUAAAAAGGGGGGGGGGAGUGGGUGCGUAUACUCGUACACUCCCACAUAGGAAAAGAUGCGUUAUUGUAAUCGAAUUCUAUAGAGAUUUCGAAAUUUUUUACGAUCAAUAUGCGUUGCUCCUUUUUAAGACAAAAUCGCAAAACAAUCUCAUUUCAGCACCAAAAAUAUACGUAUAGUCUUCGAAAUAACUGCGAGACGUCGCCAAGUUAAAAAUCGAGAUGAUACGAACAAAUUGUCCGAAUGCGACAACUACAAAUCUUACACUCCGUUCGUCGAUUGGCCCCGACGAACACAUCAUCCGUCUUAAACAAACGCAACUUGAUCACUCUUUUGAUCUUUAAAUGUCCAACACAAGGACGAAAGCGCGCUACAAAAAAAAUCCGAAAUUUUGGUCUAGCACUUCCAGUUGGCUUAAAAAUUAUCUCUGGAAAGAUGCUCGAUUCGUACCAUAGAAGUCGUAUAAGCCGAGAACCUAUCGCGGACUUUAAACCGGUACGAAUCAGGAAGAAAUCGCAACAGGAAAACCGAUAGCCGGCUAGCCACCGCAUAAACCUUAAAACCGAGAGUAAACCUAGGUCUUGCCCUAAACCCAUCGUAUUGGUCUCAGACAUCUCAAAGACAUGAUAUCUAAACGAUACGAGAUCCUAAAACAUGUCUCUUCGUUCAUAUCUCAACGUUCCCGAAAGAUCGUAAAUAUUUUUUUACGAAAACUCACGUCUCGAACAAACUAACAGAUUGAACGCCUCAACGAAGAUAAAUAUGAGAACACAACUCAUGUUUACUGCAAAACCCACUCUAAACAAAGUAACUCAAACAAACAUCCAUUAUAUAAACUGCAUAGCGGUAGGGGUUCAAAGCCACCAACGGCCAAUCCCGACAAAAACGCCCAAAAUAGGCCCACACAAAGUUCGAAAGCCACACUCGGCCAGACAUAUAUGAACAAAGGCCACACUCGGCCGCUAAAUACUAGAUAAUGGGAAAAAAUCCUUCCCGUCAAAACACUCACAGAUCGAAGUUAAAAACCCGGACAAGGAAGCUCCGAAUGCAUCCGCGGGAAAGUUCACUUCCUCAUCGUCACCGGCAAAAUCAGUCGUAGUUUCUACGGUAUCAGGGGGAACCGGGAUGGGAUCCCAGAAUCCCUGAAUCUCCCCAUCGAUCGGGGGAAUGGUCGCCUCAGCGUGAGCAUGAUCCUUCAUGCCACCCUUCAUUAACUCCAUCUCCCUCUCGAAAACAUAGUCAUCUUCCUGCGUCUUCCAAAGGCUCCCGACGGAGCCGCGACACUCACAGAAGUCGCCCAGUGAGUUGAAAGCGCCCUUAAGAUUCUCGUACUCAACCUGGAAUUGAGAAGCGCGAGUCUUCAUCACCUCGAAGAUUUUCCUCUUGCCCUUCCGUUCCGCCCUAUGAACAGCCCUGGCAUGAUCACGAGCGAGUUGAGCUUCUCGCGCCAGCAUCUCGUCUCGCAUGCGAGCAAGAUCCUUUUCCGCCUUCUCCGCCUUAAAGCGAUAGAUCAUGGCCUCUCUAUGGCUCGCCUCAAUGGCCAAUCCAAGCAAGUUCAAACCCUAUAAAACCGAUUGACACGUUAUAAGCAAAAAAUAAUAAUAACAAUCGUCAGAAUUCAUAAAGUUUAUACCCCGUUAAGGAUAUGAGAUCCUUCCGCAACAACUUUCGGCCUCCCUGACUCGCUCGUGGCCUGAGGAGCGUCAAAACCCGACAGAAGAACAGCGAAGAAAUCAUCGAAGUCCGGAAUAGGGACCUCGCUCGUACCGCUUCCAUCGCCGGAAGCAAGGUUCGGAUCCCAUCCUGGAAGCAUGCAGUCGUCCACCGAAAACUCCAGGUCGCCGAGAUCAAUAUCUUUCCCCUUCAAAGAGUUCGGCCCCGUCACAAUCGUGGGAGCGGCAUUGGGACCCUGGUCUUCAGGUUCGGAAUCACUCCUUGUUUCUCCGCCCAAAGCAGGACCUGGAUGUACAAAUCUCAGCGCAUUUCGAACUCUCUUCGGCGUAAAGGAAGUCCAGAAAAAAGGACCAUUCCUGAGCAGAUCUCUCAUCGCAAUAAUGUCCUCAGGAAACGAAGCAAGAGGGUUGAUAAAGGGACGAUCGUUCGGCAACCUCCGAAACAGUGGGAUACAACUCUCCUCAACGGACGCUGCGUCUACACGGACGAAGAAGAAAAACUACCUCCACGAGUUGAAGAUAGAAGCGAACCCCUUUACCACUGACAUGAAGUUCCAAGGAACCAGCCUGUACGUGUCCGUGUCCCUGAUGAUCUGUAAUUGAAGAAGCGCUUCGAAGUGAUCAACGGUGAGAGAGAGACCAUGCUCGUAGCUCAGGACCAGGAUCCCUUUGAGGUGCUGGAUGCCGAGAGGAUUCAGUUGGCUUAUCGCCACCCCGAAACGUCCCAACACACGGACGAUGAUCUCGGUGGAUCGGGAACCACAAACGGCAACGCACUACGAAUGCCUCGUAACAAGUAAAGAAGCCCUCCGGGGGACUACUAGUGCAUUCUCCCUGACGAGGAACCCUGAAUUCCACCGCGUCCGAAAUAUGGUAGAACGACCGCAUGACCUCGAGGAAUUCACUGGUAUUCCUACUUGGCGUACCUGCCUCCACCGGGUGAUGGUUCAUGACCGGGAACGAUUUUUCUUUGGGAGGGGUGAUCGAACCGUAACACGCAACCCACCAUGCCUCGUUCUCGGCUGGGUCUACCGAAUGAGGAACAAAUUCCAUCUUUGGAACACGAAGCUCUUCAGAAACGUUCGCGGGCAAGGACCCUUUUAUCGAACUUCUCUCCUUACUCGACAUCUCGUGUUUUUCUUUUAAAAUCAAGAAGGAAAUGAUAAAGAGAAAGAGAACGAACUUUUCAAGAAAAACUUCUCUGUGAGAAUGAGUAAGUGUGAAGAUUGUGAAGAAAUUACCUCCCUUCUUAUAGGGAUGAGAAAUUACUAUUUACUUGCGGAUUUUUGGACACGAACUUCGCCCAAAUACACCAAUCUCGUCCGAACUCGCCAUACCGCGCAUUGAGACCUCGCUAGAAAUCCACGCUCCCAACGAGCUGGGGGGCUAACUGUUGGGGUCGAAAACGGUUACGACGAAGUUAACGUCCAAAUCCCUGAAGAAGAAAAACGUAGAAACCUUCUUCGACAAACACUUUUUCGAAAUAGAUUCUUCUUUACGAAAAGCUUUGCGGAGGAAACGCGAGUCAUUGGACAAAGAGCUCGAAAAGGAUCAUUACGCAGCGACCGAACACGUGCUCCGCUCGGUCGCUAUCUAGCAACCGAAGGAUCGUUAUGCAGCGACCGAGCACGUGCUCCGCUCGGUCGCUACGUAGCAACCGAGUUCGUGCCAAGGCUCGGUCGCUACGUAACGACCGAACGUCCAUCCCGCUCGGUCGCUACGUAGCGACCGAGCUCGGUCGAGCUCGAGUCGAAACUCGGUCGCUACGUAGUGACCGAGCUCGAGCAGGAGCCCGGUCGCUACGUAGCGACCGAGCUCGAACCAAUGUUCGGUCGCUAUGUAGCGACCGAGCUCUUCCAAAACGUCAAUACAAUAUUAGUCCAUCCGUUCUCGUAUACCCUUCGAUGCUAUCUCCCGAAGACCAUAGCGAACCCAUUUCACGAUUCCCCGCCAUUCUAAGUUAUCGAUCAAACUUUACCGUAAAAACCGCGGAAAGUUCGUUCUUUAUCGAAAGAAGCCGUAAUAAAUGCUUCGAGUCGGAAGACGGCCCAAAGGGACCUAAGACAUGAUUCGAAGCCAGACUUACAAUUUCUUAACCAACAGCCCGUAAGCCGCAUGACGGUUUACGCUUGGUUCGCAAGUAAAGAUAAAUGUCAAGUUUCCGGGAAUAAAUACGAAAUUUUGAAAAUAAUUACGAAGAUCGGAAAAAAUGGAAUAUCUCCAUUUUUAUGCUAUGACGGCUUAAGGGCAGAAGGGGAAAAGCGUAAACCGACCUUGGAGUUAGUAUAUAAGGAGUCCUAGGCGAGAGGCAUGAGAGAGGACUUUUGACAGCAAACUUAGCACUUAGAGCGAUUUUAGGCAAUUUUCCGUUUUUGUUAUUCGAGCAACGACUCAAUUAGGUUUUUGUCGUCUUAGGGUUUUAGAACUAGGAAUCUCGCUGACAGCUCUCGUAGCCCAGGCACUUACCUUGUUGUAAACGCUCAAACGCAGAUUCGGAAUAAGAACUACCUUGCUCUCCUUUUUUCGAUUUCUUAUUUUAUUACUGUUCUCGUUUCGUGUUCUGAUUGCUUGGCGUGUGGUAUUAGCAGGUAGUUACCUUAUUUUAUUACUGUUCUCGUUUCGUGUUCUGAUUGCUUGGCGUGUGGGACCUCUGGGAAAUUAGGGUUUUCCUAGUUUCCUUAUUUAAACGAAAAUCGACAGUGCGAAUUUCGGUUCCCACAAUCUGUUGGGUAUGGGCUUAGCCUUCCCAAAAGGCCUGCAAGACAAUUAUCCAGGCACAUGAUUACAAACAAAGAAAGUCGGCUCCUCGACUUGCGAGCCGACGAUCGGCUCGGCUCUGGACUACUGUAACACUGUUUUGAAUCAUUGAUCUAAUAAAACACGUCUUUGUCUUGACCCACCGACGAGAACUCGUCCUUUCUCUUAAAUAGUUUAUUGACAGUCUCAGUUUAAACAGUUGGCUCCCACCGUGGGGCAGACAGAGUAGCGUCAACAAAAGAUCAUGACUCAACCCGACUCGCCGUCAGACGACGAGUCACCGGUGACUGAAGGCGCUCCAACAGCAGCAGCCUUCGCAGAAACCAUACUCGACAGGAUGGCACAGAAGGCGACAAUAGAGCAACUCGUUGCCAUCGCCGCCAUUUUAGCUCCGUUGGCCGGGGGCUUAGGAGAUCCGGCUACGACUGUCCGAAAACAACUGUUCGACAGAACAGCCAGUGCCGGAAACCCCACAAACAUGGAUGCCGUACAUGUCCAAACGCCCGGCGGCGUCGAUCUCAUCACCAUCUGGGAACUCGCCGAACUUAAGCAAUCAGUCCUGGACAUGAAAGACCGGAUGCUUGAAGGAUCUACUUCAGCACCAUUGAUCGAACGCGUCCUCGGCGAAACUCUAAAAACCCCUUUUUCUCGGAAGAUCACCGACGUUCGUUACCGGCCGACCGAAAAAAUUUGCCUUCCGACGUACGCCGGAAAGGCGGACCCAACUGAUCACAUCACUGCUUUCAACAUCACGAUGGGUCGAACCAACUUUUCCGAAGAAUAAAGGGACGCCGGUUACUGUCGUCUCUUCGUCGAGAGUCUUCAAGGACCGGCCCUCGGGUGGUUCACUGGAUUGGAGCGAGACUCCAUCAACGACUUUCACGACCUGACGACUGCAUUCCUCAAGCAGUACAUUAUGUUUACAAGACAAGGAGCAACUUUGUCUGACCUUUGGAAUCUAUCUCAGGGAUCGAGCCAAAGCCUCCGCGACUUCAUGGAAAAGUUCAAAGCAGUCGCCUCAAAAGUUCAAGUCCCCGACAGUGUCGCCGUCGACGCACUGAUGAAUACCCUCUACUUCAAGUCCUUGUUUCGCGAGGACCUCUACAGAAAUCCUACCACCUCGGUCCAGGAUGCUAUCGCUAGGUCGAACAACUUCAUUCGAAUGGAGGAAGAUACAGCAGCGAUACUCAAGAAACUGAACACGGCAGCCAAACCGGCAACCGCCCCGAAAGCUCCCGAGGCACGCCAAGAACUCCGUCAGCACACCUCAGGCAACAAGCCUAACCAGCCGAAGAGCUUCGUCUAUUUGGUUGAAGAUAAAAACUCGCCUCCAGGACCGACUGUCGUCGUACGCGAAAAAGGUUGGAACGUCUGGGAAAAUGACGAGAAGCCGCAAACCUCUUCGACGCCUUCAACUUCAAGUCCUGGCUCAGCUGAGCCAAAUCUGUGGUGCAGCUUCCAUAAAUCUAAAGUGCAUGAUACGAGGAGUUGCAGGCAUUUGGUCGAUGCCCUUUUCUCAUCUUAUGAAAAGGGCACAUCCAACGUCAAGUUGCCCAAGCCUAGGCCAAACAGCACCAAGAGCUGGAGCAAAAGCAAAGAAAAGAAAGCUCACAAGAACCAUGAUAAGUCUGGAACUCAGCCAAAGCAUACGGAGGAUGACAAGCCAGAAGAGCAGGACGAAGAUGAGGGUGAAGCACAAGUCGAAGAAGAGCAACCUCGUAAUCGUCGACGUGUCAAAGUCAUCCUCGCACGACCAAGUUCCCCCUCUGAUGAAGAAGAGGACAAACAAGUCCAUGACUCACACGAGUACUCCAGUAAGCGACCAAACGAGAGCGUCUGGUCAGAAGGGUCGAACGCCUUGAGAAACAAGCUCAGAAGAGAGUCGCAGACAACUGAUCGCACACACGACUCACACGGUGAUCUGCACUCAAUCAUCGAAAAGUCCAAGGCUAGGAAAAUCGAGGACUCGAAUGCUCGAUUUCACCUCAGGCCACGAGUCAUCGAUCUUCGCGAUAAGCUCAACUCUAAAUCAGAAGAUCUCAGGAUCAAGCUCAAUCGACCAAAGCGUUCAGAUUUACGACGAAGGCUCGAGGAGGUGAAAUCCAAGAGUUUCAACAAACACAAAUCUGUUAUCAAAGACACGUCCGUCGUCAAGGACUUACCUGUUGUCGAAGACUCGCCUAGCGACUUGAGAACUGAAUUGAGAAACAAAUGAGUCGUCGAAUCAAAUUUCUUAGACGUAAUCAUUGGUGGCUCACCUCCUUGCGGUGAUUCUGUCCGGUCUGUAAAGGAUUAUUGACUACAGGCAAUAACCUCGAGGAAAUGGCCAUCAAAACCUGAGAAUGAUCCCUCGAUCACUUUCUCACCAGACGAUGCCAUCGGCGUCCACCUACCUCACAACGACCCCCUACUAGUCGAAGUAGGAAUCGCGAAGUGUGACGUCGCUAAAGUUUUGAUCGAUACUGGCAGUUUAGUCGAUUUGAUCUUUCGAGACACGCUCGAUAAGAUGGGAGUCGACUUGCGCGACAUGAAACCAUCAUCUCGCUCCCUCACAGGAUUCAACAGAGCUUUUGAGACAAUGAUCGGGAUGAUCAAACUCCCCGUCUACGCAUGCGGAGUGACACGCACAGUCAAGUUCUCAGUCAUCCGAACGAAGGCUCCUUAGAACGCGAUCCUCGGAACCCCCUGGUUACAUUCUGUUAAGGCAGUGUCCUCUACGUACCAUCAGUGCGUGAAAUUUCUAGGACCAAACGGUCAGGUGCAGACGCUUCGCGGAGAGCAGCAGGCCACUCGCGACCUACUCAUUGCGACGGUGAAGAUGCAACAAUCGACUCCCCGCAUCAACGCGGUAGCAAAGCAAAAUCAACCUCAAAAAGAUGAGAUCCUAGAAGUCACCAUCGACGACUCUGAUGAGAGCAAAGUAGUUUGAGUCAGAGCCUUCCUCGACGAAGAGAUGGAACGUGCAAUCAUUGACUUCCUCAAGAAGAACGCAUCAACGUUCGCUUGGGCGACAUCGGAUAUGAAAGGAAUAAUCCCCGCCAUCACAUCCCACGAGCUGAAUGUCGAUCCAACUGUCAAGCCCGUUCGCCAGAAGAGACGCAAGCUCGGCCACGACCGAAGCAAAGCUGUCAACGAAGAAGUUGAGCGACUCCUCGCAGCCGGCUCAAUCACAGAGGUGCGAUACCCUGAGUGGCUAGCUAACCCGAUCGUCGUCAAGAAGAAGAACGGAAAGUGGCGCGUCUGCGUCACUUUAACGAUCUGAACAAGGCUUGCCCAAAAGACAGUUAUCCGCUCCCGCAUAUCGAUAGACUCGUUGAGUUGACUGCCGGAAACGAGCUCCUGACUUUCAUGGAUGCAUUCUCGGGCUACAAUCAGAUCAUGACGCAUCCGAAUGAUCAAGAGAGGACUGCGUUCAUCACUGAUAGAGGAACUUACUGUUACAAAGUAAUGCCGUUCGGUCUUAAGAACGCCGGAGCGACUUACCAAAGACUCGUCAAUCGAAUGUUCGCCGACAAACUGGGGAACAUGAUGGACGUCUACAUCGAUGACAUGCUGGUAAAGUCACUCCGCGCGACGGACCAUCUAGACCAUCUUAGAGAAUGAUUCAAAACAUUGAACGAAUAUGGCAUGAAACUCAAUCCAGCCAAGUGCACCUUCGGCGUCACCUCAGGAGAGUUUUUGGGAUACAUCGUCACCCAGCGAGGAAUUGUGGCAAAUCCUAAACAGAUCACCGCCAUACUCGACCUCCCCAGUCCAAAGACCAGCAGAGAAGUCCAGUGACUCACGGGAAGAAUCGCGGCCCUGAAUCGCUUCAUUUCCAGAUCUAUGGAUAAAUGCCUUCCCUUCUACGAGCUGUUGCGAGGGAACAAACAUUUUGUUUGGGACGAGAAGUGCGAGGAGGAGUUCAAACAACUCAAGGAGUAUCUUACGACUCCUCCCGUAUUGUCCAAACCCGAAACCGUUGAUAAACUCUCUCUUUAUAUCGCCGUAUCCUCGACUGCGGUCAGCAGUGUCCUCGUCCGAGAGGAUCGAGGAGAGCAGAAGCCUAUCAUCUACAUGAGCAAGUGCAUGAAUGAUCCGGAAACUCGAUACCCCACCCUCGAGAAGAUGGCCCUCGCCGUUGUAACGUCGGCAAGAAAGCUGCGUCCUUACUUCCACUCGCAUACAAUUGAAGUACUGACUAAUCAACCUCUUCGAACGGUGAUGCAAAAUACAAAUCAAUAUUGACGGCUAUCGAAGUGGGCUAUCGAGCUCAGCGAGCACGACAUUGUCUUCAAGAAUCAAACAGCUGCAAAAUCUCAAGUCCUCGCAGAUUUCCUCGUCGAGCUCGCGCCCGAGCUUGAGCAAGAUCUAAUCUUUCCAAGUCAAAAUUGGAUACUCCAUAUCGACGGAUCGUCAACAAACGAAGGAUCAGGAGCGGGAGUACAACUGUAAUCCCCAACAGGAGAGUUAAUCAGACAGCCGUUCAGCUUCGGCUUCGCCGCUUCGAACAAUGAAGCAAAGUAUGAGUCAUUGAUCGCAUGACUACGACUCGCCAAGGCAGUUGAGAUAAAACGCCUCAGCGCGUACUGCGACUCCCAACUCGUAACCAGUAAGUUCAGUGGUGACUACAACGCCCGUAACGAACGGAUGGAUGCAUACCUCAAGGCCGUUCAAGCACUCGCCAAAGACUUCGAAUUCUUCGAACUCACCAAAGUACCCAGAGGAGAGAACGUGUGCGCUGAUGCCCUCGCUGCCCUAGGUAGCAGACUGCACGAUCAGGUGAAACGUACCAUUCCUAUCCACAAGAUCGACAAACCAAGCAUCGAUCUACCUCCUAAUGAGACCACCGUCGUAGCAUCAAUAACCGAAGCCACGACCAUGGAUCAAAUCCUCGAAGCGGAAUCAGCUGACGCCACCGACUGGAUGACAAAAUUUAUCGAGUACUUGGUUGAUGGAAAGCUACCUCCCGAGAAAUGGAUUUCGAGACGGCUCAAGACACGGAGUUCCCAUUACGUCGUCCUCGAUGGAGAGCUCCAUAGAUGGACCGCAACCAAGGUGCUUCUAAAGUGCAUCAACGGCGAGGAGACGCACCUAGUCAUGGCUGAAACGCACGAAGGCGCUGCAGGAAAUCACUCCGGAGGUCGAGCACUUGCUUUAAAAGUAAAAAGUCUCGGCUUUUACUGGCCAACAAUCAAUGCAGACUGCGAAGCUUACACCCAGGGAUACGAUCAAUGCCAGAGACACGCCUCGACGAUCCGCUCCCCGACGCAGCUGCUGCGAACGAUGACAGAUCCAUACCCUUUCAUGCGAUGGGGAAUGGACAUAAUCGGCCCAAUGCCGAGUUCUCGACAGAAACAUUUCGUUCUAGUCUUGACAGACUACUUCACGAAGUGGAUCGAGGCGGAAGCUUUCGCAAGCAUAAAGGAAACAGAAGUCCAACGGUUCGUGUGGAAAAACAUCAUCUGUCGCCACGGCCUACCCUACGAGAUAGUGACCGACAACGGCUCCCAGUUCAUAUCAAACAAAUUUUGAGAAUUCUGCGAGACAACCAACAAAAUCAUAAUCGACGGUUUGAAGAAAUGCCUCGACCUGAAAAAAGGGUGCUGGGCUGAUGAACUAGACGGUGUUCUCUGGUCACAUAGGACAACUCCUCGAGGAGCAACGAAAUCAACUCCUUUCUCAAUGGCACACGGAGUCGAAGCCUUGGCUCCCGCCGAAUAAAUGUAACCAGUCUACGACGGCGAGGAUGGGCAGAACAUUGAACUCAACAGCGAUAUGCUCUUCGACGCCCUGGACGCUAUAGAAGAACGCUGCGACCAAGCUCUGCUACGCAUCUAGAAUUAUCAGCAUCAGAUCAAAGGCUACUACAACAAGAAGGUCAAGUCUCGACCUCUCGAACUGGGCGACAUAGUACAGCGCAAAGUGUUCGAAAACACUAAGGAGCUGAAUGCAGGCAAGCUCGGAACUAACUGGGAAGGGCCUUACAAAAUUGUUGAAGUUGUUAAACCAGGAGUCUAACGACUGGAAACGUCGACUGGCGAACCCAUUCCUAGAGCAUGGAAUUCCAUGCACCUCCAACGACACUACUGUUGAGCACAUGCCUGAGGAUCGAGCACUUGACAGCCUUGCUCGAUCGCCGAAUCUCUAAAUCAACGAGUGAAUGACAAUUCUGUCACUAUCACUGGCCAAAAAAAAAAAAAGUAAAUGCGCAUCCACUGCCCUUUCACUAACCAAAACGAACUACGAAAGGCUUGAUCCUCUCCUAGAGGUACGUAGGCAGCCUUUCAACAGGUCUAGCUAUAACAAAAACAAUCUCCCAACAUGUAGGAGCGCAAAUUAUUUUAAGUGAUGCUUACGCACGAGCACGACCUUGUCUCUCGAAACAAACGUACUAGCACUCACACCCACUAACGAGCAUGUCCUGAUCAGACACAUGCUCGAGGGAUUUUCGGUCGUAUCGCGGUCCUGACCCAUGCGUUCGACACACAACUUUCAAUCAUCUUAUAAUCCUCUAAAGCCGGGCUUGGCCAACCUAACAUUUUUUGGAUUACUUCAAGAUCGAGUGGAAACCGUUGUUGAUCGAAAAUAUAAACGAUUGUCUUCGAAACUCGAAAAUUAAAACUGUUCUCGAGGACUCGAACUGACGGCAUAACGCGUUAAAAUUUUAUAAGACCGAGUCAUCGACUCUCCGGUUUAAUUCAAAACAUCGACCAAAUUGCCAAAUCAUAAUCGUUUAAACCCAAUAUUCAAAGUAGAAUUCAGCGACUCGUCGAAAGCCAACUGGCACUUUCGAGUCCACAAAACUAUGUCUCACUACUAAGGCAAACUUUGUUCUAGAAAUAAUUUCUGAGGAAAACAAACUUACUGAAAGUCUGAAACAAAAGAACCGCAGAGCGAAACAAGUUCAGAUAUUACAUCGACAAAAUCCUCCGAGGGCUAUAAACAGAAAGCUUAAGAAAAACAACAACAACAUAUCAAAUUAGUCCUCGAUACGAUCGGGGCCCUCCUCGAUGACCUGAGCUUCGAGCUGAUCCGAAGCACCUCCAGUCUCAUCCGUUGGCAGAACAGGUAGAUUCUCAGCUUCAUCAACCGCUCUCUCAUCUCCUUGCGGAUUGCCCACGAGGACAGGUUCAAUUUCAUCCGGUUUCUCACCACCCACCUCUUCAGUCAAAAAGUCUGAGAGGUCAUGAGGUUAACAGGCUCCACUUCCGUCUCCUCGACUCCCAGAGUAGGAGUGGGAGUAACACCACUAGCUCUGAGAGUCGGGAUAACCGGACCUUCAUUCACGACGAGGCCGGCCGAGAACACAGCCGUGUCCGAAACAAGUGGAGCAGUCGUGUCCUCGGGCCUCACGACCUUGCUAGCAAUCCCACGUUCCUGAAAAGAAGACUCCCCGAGCUCUCUUCCAGUCGGGUCAUCCAACUUUUCGGUCACAUGAUCACCCUGAGAACUACUCGGAGUUUGGAGGAAGGCAGCGGUUCCAGCGUCAUUCAGACCUGCAUUUGACCCGUAUGGGUCGAUCGCCGCCAACACAUUCUCCUUAAAGAAGGGGGAUCGAAGACGAAGAGGAGAUAGACAGAGAAGCUCUUCGGGAAUCCCGCUGACGGCUAGGCGUUUAGCUUCAGCCUCGUACUCUUUCUCUUGUUCAGCGAACAAGUCAAUCAUCUCCUGCGGAAUAUCGGUCCCACUCUCCUUAAGUGCCUCAAGGCAUUUCUUCGUCCCGAAGGCUUGGCUCUGCAAAGACCUCGCCGUUUCGAACUCGCCACGACGCUUCUCGAGAUCUCGAAUUUUAGCGACACGGUGAUUGCUCUUAGCAAUCAUGGCCGUUUGUACACGGACUCGCUCGUGUGUGACCUCGUAACCCCAAGAAUACCUUAACCUAUUGACCUCCUUUAAGUGCCUCAGAGCCGUGGACACCAUCUUCUCUUCUAAGGCAGCUUUCUCUCUAGUCCAAGCAUUCUUCUCCUCUUCGAGUCCUCGGAUCUUCGCGCCGGCAGCCUCGAACUUAUCUUUCAACUCCCCGAACUUCUCCAAGAAAUGAGAAUUCUGAGCCUUCUUUCUGGCAAGCAACCGAGUCUGCUCUUCCGCAACCUUAUCGAUCGUCGAUUUAAACUCCUUUGCCUCGCGAUCGUGAGCUGUGUCCUUCGCCGAAGGAGCUUGUCAGAGUGUUUUAACUUGGACGUGGCCUCCUUGAGGGCCGAGUCGUACAACUCGACGACGAAGUUCAUGCUUCCAUCACUCUGUAUGGACAAAAGAAAGGAUCAGAAACUGGAAUAUAAAGGAGACGAAUCAAGGAGAAUAGGUCUUACCAAAAUUUUGGUCCUCGCUGCAUCAACAUAUGCGUCCUUGAAGAAAAGGUCCUUGACUGCAGGCAAGUCCCUGCGACCACCUUUAAACUGUCGAAUAAGUUCAGCGCAUUCAGACGGGGUGUAAGAAAGUGGAGUCUCGCUGACAUACUUGAAUUCCACGUGAUCGCAAAAUUUGACCCGACGCUCCUCCGAGGCUGAACCACCUUCAACGAUAGUCGGAGGUGCAGCUGAAGGAGUCUUCGCAGCAGAAGCGGAUUCAGCUGGAGUAGAUGACUCAUGACUACGGGAAGUUUUCUUCCUCUUCGGCAAAACGAUCGGGGAGUCGUUCAAUUCGACGACUGCUCGAGUCGCAGCAUCACGAGAGGAACCUUCCUCGGUGGAAGUUUUGCGGCCCUCAAUGUCCCCGAUAGGCUCCGACUGUCCCUCGACAUGCUUCUUCUUUUUCUCCUUUUUCUUCUUCUUCUUUGGAGGCCCAUCAGACUUGGUUCUCGCUUGAGAAGCAGCCAAAGCAGAGGAAUCAGGAGCGGAUCUCUUCUUCUUAUUACCAUCGGUCACCGAUGGCUCAGCAGUCUCCCGUUCAGAGGUCCGCAUCAGAUCCUCCCUCGGAGACUCGGCAUUUACCGGGCCUACAGAUGGCUCGGGGGAAACAGCGAGAGGUAGAGGAGCGGGAGGAGUCGUCUCACUAGGGGUCGUCUCACUGAGAGUCGCAGAAGAUGCCUUUUUCGCUCCGCUUAGCUUCUUCUUGAUUAAUGCACUCAAAUCCGGAAGUUCUUUCAUCUCCCUGGCUUCGUCGAUGAUCUUUUGCUCGGCACUACUGAAUAUCCAAAACCGCCGCUUAUUGCCGGUAAUCAAAGGUGGUAGAUCAGAACUCCAAUCCCCUGAAAAGGAUCAGGAAAAAUAAAAGUCACGAACGAACAAACAUGAGUCAGGAAAAAUACGGAACCACGGAAAGAGGACUUACGCUUCGAGAUUCUGUCAAGGACUCGUCGGACCCUCUCGAUGGUGAUGUGUUUCCAACUUACUUGGAAACAUGACACGACUGCACGAGCGUCAGAAACGAAAUCUUCUGGAUAGGAGGCCGUGUCUGGGUGAUCAACUGGAAUCAAACAAAGACUCGUCAGAAAAAAAGAAAAAAGAGACAGUCGAUAAGCUAAUAACAGCGUUCUACCGAGCUUAUGAUUCCACAAAAAUAGAAGGGAAUCGUCGGGCGGCUCCUCGAAGGCAAAACCGUCAUAUUUGACAUAAAAAUAGAAGCGCUGCCAGUUAGCCGUCCUGCUUGGAUGAUCAAUAAUUACGUUGUAGUUGGGCCUCAUAUGAAUCGAGAAUAGACCGUCCCCCAUGGAUUUCGUAUAGGUCAACUCCUCGAGAGUCCGUACGCUCAUCGAAACAUCGAUCUCUGCCGCCGUCACCAUCAAUACUACCGAAAUACGGAACGCGCCAUUAAAGAACUGACUUAUUGCUGCGCCGCGACGUCUCACAUAAGACGUGAUGAGUCGAGAAAUCGGAAACCAGAGCUUGGUCUCGCUCUGAAAAUAUGACUCCUAGACGCACUGGAAUCCCAACGGCGGGGACCACGGCCUUUGAGAUUUUGUCGGGAUCAAGAAAGUCACCCCGGCUCCUCCACAUUUUCUCAGCAGAGCCUUCACGCUGCUAGGAGUCAAACGAGUCUCCUCGACGUUCUCCCACGACUCUCCUUCUACGACAGGAGAACGCAUCUGCUCCGCCGCGAAAGCCGGAAGAUCCUCGAAGAUUCCCCCAGGGUGAUAACAACACGGAACGAAAUCAGGAAGAGAAACCUCUCCAUCGCUCGCUCCAUCCUGACCGUCUCUCAAUAUUAAUGUCGCACUCUCUCUCUCUUCGCGGAGCUGACGCGCUGAGUCAGCAACGAGGACUCGUUGAGGCGUGUCCAUGUUCUCUGUAUCCAUCAUGGCUUCACGAUGAAUCGUCUCAAAAUCAGAAGGAGAGUUCGACACAACGACAUGUGCAGGACUUGACUCGGUUGCUCUCGCCACGGCUUUCCCUUUCUGAGCCCUAGAAAGCUUACCGCUACCGCCCGAUGACAUCCUCAAAGCUAAGACUACAAAGUUAGAGAGAGAAGCGGAAAGUAAGAGAGAGAAAGUUCAUGAGCUGGGUGAAAAGUGGAGAAAAUGAGACGCGAGAGGAGUAUUUAUAGAUAGAGGAGCGCAUCGUACCCCGAGGAGUCAUCAUUAGACCUAGAUGGGCCUAGGUCGGCCCAUUUAGGCGCGUAGAGCUCACCGAACGUCGUGAAUUUUCGACUUCUCGAGGAGAACCGAAACCGGUCCAAAUCGAAACCAACAGUCAGCUCCAAAACCAGAAUUAACCACCGGUCCGAACCAAAACCGGUCAGAUCAUCGAGCGCGAGCAGAUGAGUCGAUUGCAUAGUCGAGGAGUCGACUGAGAUCGUAGACCUGAUAUAGUUGUCUCGCAAACCCUACUUUCAAAUUCGCUGAGUCGGCUACGCUACUCACCAGCGAACUGGGGGGACUUACUGUUUGGUAUGGGCUUAGCCUUCCCAAAAGGCCUGCAAGACAAUUAUCCAGGCACAUGAUUACAACAAAGAAAGUCGGCUCGUCGACUUGCGAGCCGACGAUCGGCUUGGCUCUAGACUACUUUUUGUCGUCGAGACAACUGACUGAACGUCGUCGGCUCGAUGACUUGACUCAGCGGUCUAACGCCCCGGCCCAAUCACUCGAGGAGGCCCACCGAGACAGAGCGCAUUAGGUCAACGAGCAUUUGUCUAUAAAAGGAGGAGGAAAGGCAACAAGUGGGGGAUCCACAAAUUACUACACACACACUUUCGGCUAGACUUAGGGUUUUACAUCUUACAUCUCGCCGACUUGUAUGGUCCGACGAACUUAUCUUCGCCGGACUAUUUCAUCCAUUCUCUUCCCCUUUUGUAACACUGUUUCGAAUCAUUGAUCUAAUUAAACACGUCUUUGUCUUGACCCACCGACGAGAACUCGUCAUUUCUCUUCACUAGUUUAUUGACAGUCUCAGUUUAAACAGCAUCCACUAAAGGGUCACGGUCAUGCAUAACCUCAACACUUGUUGAUAAGGUGGAAGACAGACCAUUAGCCGAUAAAGCAUCCCUCACUAGUUUUGGCCGAGGAGUGUAAGAAAGAUGUCGCUUCCGUGCUUUAGCCUUCUGAUACUCAUCACAGACAACCGACACCGGGAGCCUCACCACGUUCCCUGGGAAAAGCAAUGUAAGAAAUAAACGAGACAAAAUCUUACCGGAUAAAAGGGAAUGCUUACCCCAAACACGACUUUGACGCAAGGCUUCCCUGCUGACCAGAAAAGUCACCCAUCAGAAUCGUCGAGGAACUCCCAUUAUAAGCUUCACUACUGCUUCUCCAGCAAAGGAAACCGGGUGGGACACAUUUGACAAAGCAAAAGCCAAAACAUCAAAUCGGGCUCCCAAAGGAAUGAAAAAACUCAAAGCCCAAAGAAGAACUUACCAACGGUACGCCAAGACGUAGGAUAACCAACCGUCUUCUGGAUCUUAACGAACACGUACUGGCUGUUCCAACCAGUCCCCUAUUCCAGACCAGGGUCUGGCACUAUAGAACCGCUGACUUCUUGCCAAAGACGGAGAAGCUCUGGGCUUUUGACGGCGUCUAGGAGACGGUGGAGCGUGGAGCUCUGAUGUUUCCUAAGGAGGAGCUUGUGCGUUGAUGUGAGGGGAUAGACCAGGAGGCUGGUGCCCGUUCAGUUGAUGAUAAUGCUCUUCUUACUCUUCAAGAGUUUGUAUUUUCGAAAUUUUCCUUUUUAUAGGAGGGAUUUCCUUUUUUCUGCGAGGAUCGGAUUUCCUUUUCGCCGUUUAUCCUUUACGUCAGGGAUUCUUCAGGAUAUUUGGAAAUAUCCUUACUUCCUUUUCUAAUCCUGCGAAAAAGGAAUGAUCCGGAUAUAUAUAAGGAGUCGUAAUAUCUUCUAGCUGGCCUCAAUCCAACUCUAGCGCUGAUUCCUAAUUGAGAAAGAUGAAUCCCAAGCUGCCCUCGUUUUCGUCCUUACUUGUGGGUGGUCGUCCAAGGCCAGGUGCAGGACAUGAUGGCUUGCCGGGAUCUACUAGUUCAGCAAGUGAAAGCCUCGACUAGAUGGGAGCUCAUUACGGAAUGGCUGGAAAAGCGCGUGGAACAUUCGAAUCCGGAAGAAGAGUAUCGGCGUCAUCUGUUCCUGUCCGGAGGACUUAACCAUCAUUCGGGUGUUGGGGUCAAAAUCGGUCACAACGGAAUCAAUGUCUGAAAGUCCGUAAAAAUCAGCAUGAACGUUUAUACGAAAAGUAAUCUUCGUAAAAAAAUCUUUACGAAGAGCCUUGCGGUAAAAUCUAGCUUAAAUCUCGAUCAAGCCAAGUACCGAUUAUCUCAAGGCAACAGACACGUAUCCAAACCAGCCACAUACGAGCUCGAGUAUAGCGAUCGGACCACGGACAAGCAAAGCGUGAUCGCUACGCAGCGACCAAGCAUGCACACUGCUCGGAUGCUACGUAGCGACCGAGCUCGAGCCAAGCUCGGUCGCUAAGUAACGACCAAACACGCGUACUACUCUGUCGCAACGUAGCGGUCCCUCAUAAAACCCGCAGAAACAACGCUACUUUGACAUAUGUAUACAUAUCACCGAUUUACAACCUUCGUAAAACUGAUCCCCAUUACUUACUCGAAAAAUCUUUCGUACAAUCAGACCAAGUCUUACGAAGAAACUUUCUAAGGUUAACAUAACAGGCGUUAUGAUAAAUUAUGUUUUGUAUAGCAAAUGCAAACGCAAACCUGUAAGAUCUGAUUUUUGAUGAUCAAUCUAAACUUUAUCUCUUCGCAUUACGAUAUAAUAGAUCUCAUUUUUUUGCCCUGCGGCUCGCUGGCUUCUGCCUUUCUUUUCCCUCGGUCACAUCUGAGAAGGCAGUCAUUCCGCCGCUGACUCCACACUGGUUAUGUGGCAAACCGCUUGGGCUUCGUCUUCCUCAGAAAAAAAGAGUCAAUUUUCAUAAGACUAUAGGUCACAUUAUACAGAACAUUCGUCGUAUAAUUGAAACCUAGAGCGGAGAAUCGUUUUCUAUGACUAUCAGCCAUAUUAGCACGGAUAACCCCGGCAAACUUGGCCUAUCAAUCUCGACAAGCGCUCUUUGGCCCUCGGUCAAUUACGCUGUCCACUAAAGGUCCAAACCAAUAUUUGCCAUCCCCUUUAAGGACGAUCGUAAACUAACAUGACCUUUAAUGUUAAAGUACCAUGGUCUAAUCCUUGACCUACAACAUCCUUGGCUAUCUGAGUGAACACAUCCUUCACGCCAGGCCAAACUAUUUGAGAAACCAUCGCUCCAUCACUUAACGGCUAAACGACAAUCUACGAUUUGUCUAAAAACAUCGUGUGACUAUUAAGAGAAUAAUUAUCGUAUAGCCCACAGUCCGAAAUCAUAUGAUAAAUUCUGCGUAAUGAAACUCAGUCCUAACAACCAAAUGGUUAACGGAAAAUCUGAACUUUUCAAAAAUUGACCAAGGUCGAUACGCUCCACAAUUCACUUUAAGCCCGCAACGUUUUACCCAUAAUAAGCGGCAUGUAAGGAAAAAUUCGUAACAAAGCUUCUAGAGCUAUACAAAACAUCCUAAAAAAUGCACGAAAUAGAUCUCGAAAGGCCAACACUUCACAAAGCACUAUGGAGGCAAAUGCUUCUUCCCAUGUACAAAUUUACGCGACUCCUCAGUCCUAAGUUCUCGAUCCCAAAUCAAAUUAUUAGAAUCAAAACAGGAACAACAAUUUUGGCCGCGAACAUCCGUAGUCAAACCAGAAUGUUUCUCAAACGCAGGGCUAAGACUAAACCCUUGCAACGUCGCGAAAUAUCUUCAAGCCCGCGAACAUUUCUAGUACGAAACAAGGCAUACGAAAGAAUAACAAAUCUUCAGCAUCGCGAGACGUCGCAGACGCCUGAAGAUUCAUUCUUCGACGAAAUUUCCUUCCUCGAUAAAAACACCUUCUUGGAAGACCAGACAGUCAUACGCACUAACAUCUUCUCAAUAUAUACCCUUCGCGAAGACUCAAAAUGGUAAUUUUUACCAUUAAGUUUGUUGCUGAUCACAACAAACUAUUAACGUCCUAAACAGACUUAGCCAUCUAGUAGAGAUGACUCUCGUACAUCCGACACAAGGAUAAUAGCGCAAUAAAAGAAACCCAAACUUUUUGGUCAACACUUCCAGGAGGCUUAAAAAUUUUCAUUGGAGAGAUGCUCGGUUCCAACCAUACAAGUCGUAUAAGCCAAGAACCUAUCGCGGAAUUCAAAUCGGUAUGGAAUCAUGAUGAAACUGAAACGGGAUAUGUAAGUCGAAUUAGUCAUCGCACCCUCUGAAACCAGGAGUAAACCUAGGUCUUGCCCUAAACCCAGCGCACUGUUCUCUAACAUCUCUAGGCAUAGUAUACAACACCCUGACACGAGUUUCCAAAAUUUGUCUCUUUGCCAAUAUUCGAGCGUCUUCAGAAAUCCUUCAAGUUUACACACUGCAGAAAACUCUCGAAACAGAUCACGAAUAUAGCAGUUCACACAGAGUUAGAUUACGACAUGACAACUUGUAGUCUUCCUUCUACACCCAUAUAAAAUGCCAUCGGCAGCAACACGCCUGAUAAUCUCUACACAUAAACUAGACCGUAAAGGUCUCGCUGGAAAACUAGUCUUAAAACCUUAACUCCAAGACGAACUACGAAAGGUUUGAUCCCUUCAACAAGGAUACGUAGGCAGCCGUAAUAAGGCGCAGCCCCAAUCUUAUCGCUUUCUACUCUUAUAAGAGCGAGAAGACCACUUACCACAGACCUUUUCAACCAUUAAUUCCGCUUAACUCACCUAACUUACCUAACUUGCCAAGCCACUCACUAGAACCUCACGCUAGAAGCUCAUGGUUCUAACGAGCUGGGGGGCUAAUUGUUGGGGUCAAAAUCGGUCACGACGAAAUCAAUGUCUGAAUGUCCGUAAAAAUCAGCAUGAAUGUUUUUACGAAAAAUAAUCUUCGUAAAGAAAUCUUUAAAAAGAGCUUUGCGGAAAAAUCGUGCUCAAAUCUUGAUCAAGCCAAGUACCGAUUAUCUCAAGGAAACGGACACGUAUCCAAACCAGCCACGGACGAGCUCGAGUAUAGAGAUCGGACCACAGACAAGCCAAGCAAGAUCGCUACGCAGCGAGCAAGCAUGCACACUGCUCGGUCGCUACGUAGCGACCGAGCUCGAGCCAAGCUCGGUUUCUACAUAGCGACCGAGCACGAGUACCGUUCGAUUGUUACGUAGUGACCGAGCUCGAGCCAAGCUCGGUCGCUACGUAGCGACCGAGCUCGAGCCAAGCUCGGUUUCUACGUAGCGGCCGAGCACGCGUACUGCUCAAAAACCAUAGCAAGCCCGUUUCAUGUUUCUCGUCAUUUGAAGUCAUCAAUUGAACUUUACAAUAAAAACCGCAGAAAGUUCAUUUUAUCGAAAGAAGCCGUAAUAAACAUUUAGAGUCAAAAGGCGGCCCAAAGAGACCUAUGACGUGACUCGAAGCCCACUUACGAUUUCUUAACCAAAGCCCAUAAACCGUAGGACGGUUUAUGCUUGGUUCGCAAGGAAAGAUAAAUGUCAAGUGUCCGCGGAUAAAUACAAAGUUUUCGAAGAUAAUUACGAAGAUCGAAAAAAUGGAAUAUCUCCAUUUUUAAGCUAUGGCGGCUUAAGGGCAGAAGAUAAAAAGCAUAAACCGACCUUCGAGCGAGUAUAUAAGGAGUCCUAGGCGAGAGGCAUGGGGGGAGAACUUUUUCAGAGCAAACUUAGCACUUAAAGCGAUUAGGCAUAUUUCCGUUUUUGUUAUUCAGGCACGGGGGGGGGGGGAUUUUCUCAGAACAAACUUAGCUCUUAAAGCAAUUAGGCAACUUUCCGUUUUUGUUAUUUCGAGCUGCGACUCAAUUAGGUUUAGCCGCCUUAGGGUUUUUAGAAAUAGGAAUCUCGCCGACAGCUCUCGAAGUCAGGCUAAUACCUUGUUGUAAACGCUCAUACGCAAAUUUGGAAUAUGAUUUCUCCUUGCUCUCUUUUUACGAUUCCUUAUACUUUAUCGUUAUUAUCUCGUGUUCUGAUUGCUUGGCGUGUGGUAUUAGCAGAUAUCCAGGACCUCUGGAAAAUUAGGGUUUUCCUAGUUUCCUAAUUUAAACGGAAAUCGACAGUGCGAAUUUCGGUUGUGGGGUCGCGAUUCUCAGAGGGGCCUUCUUUCUGAAUGAUUAUUUUCUUUAUGUUUUGAGACUCUGGUUUUUGUUGCUUUAUUUUGAAUAAAGGUUCUUUAUAGCCCCCUUGAUUUUAUGAAUAAUGAUGCUUCAUGGUUUUUCCCCUUUAUCUACUCCUUGUUGUUGCUACAACAUGCUCCUGAUAGUAGUGUUUUGCAUGUUUCUUUUUUAAGAGGGUAUUCUUUCGCCUGUUUCUCGAUCACGGUGGGACUUUGUAGUCUAUGGUCCUCUUUUUUCGUAGAUUGAACAAUAGGAUCCGGGGAGAUUACGAUCUUUUCUUUGCGCUUGUUGAACCAUGUACCAGUGAAGUCUCGCAUUGCUUCAUCUCCUCUGCCCCAUUUGUCCUUCAUUGUUGUAGUUGCAUCUUCUAUCUUCUGCAAUCUAUCUCCAAGACUCUCAAGAUUGAACUGAUGUCUCAUAACUGUGGCGUAUGUGUCAGUUGAGAUCUCCUCUCCAUGGUUGUGUGUGUUAGACAUAUCUGAUGUCACCUUUUGUACUAGCCUCCCUCCCUCGGUUUGUAGCGUCGUCGACCGAUGUAUGUCUGUGAAUGUCGAUCGAUGCAUGUAAGCGAUUGUCGAUCGAUGUCUGUCGACGUCUGUCGAUCGAUGUAGAGCAAGAUACGUCGGUCGCACGCUGAAUUCUGGCUAUGUCUUGCCUCAUCUCUUCCAUGCAAGUAGUUAGCCAACUGAUACUACCAUUCAAUGGAUAGUAGACUCCAUCAAGCUUCAUCUGGAAGUCUUCUUUGUUCUUCUCUUGUUCUCUGCAAAUUCCAUAUAACAUCUCAUUGAUCUCGUCCUUGGUGUAGAUCUCUAUUACUAGCUUGGUUUGUGUGAAUGAGCUAGCAUGUUCUAGAAGAUAGAUGUAGUUGGGGUCAUUUGUGCUCAUUUGUCGCAGCUCUUUCCAUUAGCUUUCUGAUCUCCUCUGUAGACACAUUAAUGAUUUGUCCAUCCAUAUCUCUUGGACAUCCCUGAUCAUCUCUGUAGACUCCAUACUCAUCUUUCUCUUCCCAGUAGAAUUUUCUGGUUCCAAAAAGGUUAAAAGCUCUUCUGCCAAAUUCAGGACAUUUGUCGACCGAUGUUGGGACGUCAACGUCAACGUCGAUCGAUGGUCGAGUAGGGUUGUGAGACCUCUGUUUGAAGCGUUUAUCUAUGCCACCAGAUGUGUCAUAAAACUCCUUUGUAACCUUCUUCUGGUGUUCGGUAAUAGUGCGUUGUUGCAUGAAGAGGUUGUCUGCCGCAUUGGCUGUCUGCCGCAUUGGCUGUCUGAAGGAUGUCGGCAAUAUCCUCUCGAGAUACGUGCAGUGUACAUCCAUCUAUUGCUUUUGCGUAGCCAUCUGGGACCCUGAAAAUACCAAAUUCGUCUGGAUUUAGAUAUAGGUUAUCAGAUUUAUCUUUUUUGCUUACAGUGGUUUUUGGUUUUAGAUGGCUGUCGAUCGAUGUUAUAUGGUUGAUGUCGAUCGAUGUUGGAGGAAUGAUGUCCAUUGAUGGAUGCAUAGCUCUGUCGAUCGGAUGGCAGAAAUGUGUUCUUUCCAAAGGAGAUUCUGCUCGUUUCUGAUCUGUUUCAUCGCAUCUUUGCAUGUUGAGAAGUUCCUCAUAAGUGAAACCCUCAUGAAGUUCAUCAGCUCCUUGAUCACGGUAUGCUGUCUCUACUGCGUAGCUCUCGGGAUGGCGAUCAUAUGCCCAACUUCCAAUUGAGUAAUCUCCAUCUCAGGUAGCGUCGAUGUUAGUGUCAAUCGAUGGGUAGUAGGCAAUGUCGGUCGAUGCUCGAAGGUGGUUUGGUUGAUGAGGUUGAGUUUUGAUCGAUGCUGAACCGUUCCUGUCGAUCGAUGGCGACUUAUUUUUCAAAGACGACUGGUGGAGAAGUAUAUCUUCCUCGUCAAGAAUCGCUCUUUGUUCUAUGGCUUGUUCUUCCUCAUAAUCUUCAUCAUACUCCUCCGGAUGCAUGUUGUGUUCUGCCAUAUUGGGAGUGUAGUAAUCUUUUUCCUAUUCUCCUUAAUUACUGUCUACCGAUUCUUCUUAUGCCCCAACGGUCGAUUUUUGUUGGGUAUUGCCGAUCGAUGUUGCAGUGAGAGUUGUCGAUCGAUGACGGUCUCCUGAUGUCGAUCGAUUACGGGUUCCUGAUGUCGAUCGAUGACGGGGUCAGAAUGUCGAUCGAUCUUCACGUAAAUAGGGCUGGGCGGAUGUGGGUGUUUUGCUGCAAACUCCUCGUGAGUCAUGAUCCACACGGCAUUGCAAGAUGCGGCUAACUCCGUAGGUGUUGUCGAUCGAUGUCCAGGAGAGGAUGUCGAUCAGUUUUGGGUGACUUAUGUCGACCGAUGUUCGUGCCUUGGCGUCGAUCGACACCAAUGCGAUCCGCCGAAACUCAUCAGACUCUCUACUUCGAAAUCUCCUUCUUGCAACUUCUCUUCUUUCACCACUUGACAGAAAUCAUCCCCAAUGAUGGCAUUCAUGUGGUGCUUCAUCACAUCAUCUUCUACCCCUCUUGUCAAGGGUCUCUGUCUCUUAACAGCUUCUCCUGCUUCUUCACAUGAGUGCUCAAAGUCUCAAACUUUGUGUUCAGGUUGGUGUAGACAGAAUCAAUCUUCCCAUUGAAGUCCACUGUCAUGCGCUUCUGUCCCUCGAGAACUCUAUCAAGUAUCUCCUAAAUCUUUCUCUCUUGAUUUGGCGGUGGUGGCUUCUGGUAGUAGGAGCUUCCAUAACCCAUGUUGUUGUUGUAGUUGUUGUUGUAUGGUUUAUGUCGCUGCGAACUCUGGUUGAAAUUGCCCCUAUUUACAUAGGAGUUUCUGUUUCCACCCUGGUUUCCAGAACCUUGGAAUCCAGUUCCACUGAUGAAGUUCACAUCUGCUUCCUCUUCUCUACCCUCUAUUUCUACAGCCUCUGCAUCUUCAACCAUGCAAACCUGCUUCCCGAGAAGCUUGUGAACACUGUCCAGCUUUGCCUUCACUUCAUCCAUCUGAUCAUUCCCAAGGAUAGUGGCAGACCUCUUCCUCUCAAAAUUAUUUUUCCUUGUGCUGUUGCUAGAUGUUUGGUUUUCAAUGACCUUCACUACCUCCUCUGGAUUCAUGGUGUUGAAGUUCCCAUUGCUGGAAGCAUCAAGAGCCAUCUGGUAUUGCACCGCGAUGCCUCUGUAGAAAGUAUUGAGCAGUUGUACUUCAUUGAAUCCAUGGUGUGGACAGUCUCUCUGGUAAGACUUGAAUCUGAUCCAGGAGCUUCUGAAUGAUUCUACAGGCUCCUGAGUGAAUGUAGCAAUCCUUCUCCUCAAGUCUUCAGCAUGUGCUUCAUCAAAGAAGUUCCAUAAGAAUGCAUUCUUGAUGUCACUCCAGGAUGUUAGGGAUCUUGGUGGUAGCUGAUUAAGCCAAUGCGAAGCAUCUCCAGCAAGUGAGUACUUGAAGAGCUUGCCUAGGAGGUAGUCUUCAGAGACUCCCUCGAGGUAGUCUUCAGAGACUCCCUCGACUUUAAUAGCAUAUAUGAGAUCCUCGAACCUCUCCAGAUGGAACAUAGGAUGCUCGUGAGAUAACCCAUAGUAGGGUGUUUGUCCCACGAGUGUUUAGUACUGCAGCUUCAACUCGAAAUCCCUCUGAAUAGUUGGAGGUUGAAUGGCUGAUCUGUUGGUGUAGAACUAGCUGGACGGUUGUAGUCAGCCAAUGUUCUGGGUCGAGCGGCCUCAUCUACAGGUAGAGUAGCCCAUGUAGCUUCAGACUCAGGGAUUGCAGCCCCCUGAGCGUCUAUCCUUUGACCAAUUGCAUUACGCAUAUGACCUUCCUGGUCAUACAGGUUUCCUCUCUCAUCACGUACAAGAAUCAAAGUCGCAACUGUUGGGGAAAAAUACUCCGGUAUCAUUUCCUCCAGCAUCCAGGCAGGACCCAGACCCUCGGGUCCCCGAUAAGGGAACCCUCCCGGUCCCCGCUAGAAGGAACCCUGACUUCUGUCCCUGGAACCGAGCUUCCUUCCAAGAAAUGGAAAACUUCCGAUAAGGAGAUCCUCAUAUUUCCGAAUAUGGAAGAGUUUAAGCUAAGGAAACCGACUCCUAGACAACUAUAUGAGGACUACUAAAACCCUAAAGCGAUAGAUCGACUUCCCCAAGGCUUAGAGACUAGAAUUAGACGGCUAGAACUAGAGUUCUUAUUCAAUACUUUGUAACCUCUCUUGUUCUUUCUUACUCUAUCUAAUAAAAGUAUCUUCAAGCCUAUCUCUUUAUUAUCCUUCCUAAAUCCUCACGAAAUACCUAUAAACUUACCUGGUUUACCAACUUGUCCAACGUUCCGUAGUACUCACAAAGAGCCUACACAAAAAUCUCCUAACAGUUUGGCGCUAGAAGGAGGGGAGUAAUCUAACUACGUGAUGAUGACGAUGGAUGAGCACGACAAACCAAUUGAAGCUGCUCAAACAACGACUGCGCUUCAAAAGCGAGUAGAUGUUUUGCAAAGCCAAAUCACCGACAUGCAUCGAGCCCGACAGACUACCGGAGAAAACCCCGGCCUCUCUUCAGAAGUUCAAAGUCUGAACGAGAAACUUCACGAGCACUCCAAACAGCUGGAGCAAAGCGCCGAGAAGCUAAGCCAGCUUCAGUCGGAGAACACCAUCCUCUGGGACCAGAACCAAGCCCUCAACGCGACAUGCAACAAGAAGCGUCGUUUCAACACCCGGGUCCAACCUAUGGGAAAUCUAAAUACACCCAGCAUCGAAGGAGGUACUAUCGACAAGCCUCUCGCACCUGGGGUAGCUGGGUAAACUCAGGAAGGGACCGAAAAUCCUCAAAUUCACGACUUGGAAGAGAGCGAUUCCGAGCUGGAACCCGAGAACGAAGCACCUAAGAGGGCCGCAGCAGCAGAGUCCUCCAUAACCGCCUACCUGGAGCAGAUUUUCUCUAAGCGAUUUGACGCCAUGCAGUCCAUGGUAGAACGCUUACCAGGAGUAGCUCCCCCAAUCCGGAGAAGCAACCCAGAUUCCUACGCUGAUACCCCCUUCGUAGAAGAUAUCGCCUCAGUCGAGAUGCCUAGAAAGUACUCCUUCCCCAGCAUCAAGAUGUAUGACGGCACCGGCGACCCCGAUGAUCACAUCGCGAGGUACAAGCAAAGGAUGCUGGCGGUUGCACUCCCUAAGGAAUCCCGCGAGGCCACGAUGUGAAAAGGGUUUGGUUCCACUUUGAUCGGACCUGUCCUGCAAUGGUAUCUCAAUCUCCCUACCAGGUCCAUAUCCUCCUUCGCGGGCCUGAGCGACAAAUUCGUGGAGCAAUUCGCGAGUAGUAGGAGCCUGGAGAAGACUUCAGAUGGCCUCUACGUGAUCCUCCAGCAUCGGGUGGAACCCCUGCGAGACUACAUAGCCCGCUUCAACCAGGAGAAAAUGGCGGUCCCGGAAUGCAGUAUCCCUACUGCGAUCUUCGCCUUGAAGAGAGGUCUACUUCCAGAUGGAGGGCUAUACAAAGAGCUGACCAUGUAUCCCUGUAAGACCAUGGAAGAUGUGGUGUCCCGAGCCUUGGCGCAAUUAAAGUGGGAGGAAGAUGUUGCCAGCCGUGCCAAGGCUUAGCCAAAGCAGGACCAGUGGUCAGCCCGAUCAGAUCGAGGAGACCAGGACGAAAGAUCCUCCCAAAAAGGAUCCAAGAACUCUAGUAGUAGAAACAGAGGCAGGUUCCACUAUCAGCCUCAGGAGAAGGAAGAAGGGAUUUCGGUAUCUACCUGGCCCGAUAUCUCCCAUCUCUCAAUAUCAACACCAGAGCUAGGCAGCACACUGAGACAGAUGGGCCAACAAGUUAAGUGGCCUCCAAAGAUGAAAGCCCCUGACGGGUGAUCCACGUCAUAUCCGGAGGUUCAGAAGUAAGCGGAGUGAACCACACAGCCGCAAAGAAAAGCACCCGUAACACUAAGCAUCGUCUGGAAACGAUCCAACCAAAGCGCCUACUUCUAGGCACCGAUGAGAUAAGCUUCACAGCUAAAGAGCAAGAGAAGAUCCUAGCUCCCCACCAUGAUGCCCUAGUUAUCUCUCUCACCGUAGCAAACUGCUUGGUGAAAAGAAUACUAGUAGACAACGGAAGCUCCAGCAACAUUAUCGUCCAGAUGGCGUACCAAGAUCUAGGGCUGGAGGAAAAAACUCUGACACGCAAAGUAACCCCACUCAUCGGCUUCAGCGAUGAAGUCAAGCGAACAGCCGGAGAGGUUAUCCUCCCAGUAUAUGCUGAAGUGGUCAAUAUGUCUACCAAAUUCCUGGUCGUAGAUUGUCAAUCGGCGUACAAUAUGAUCUUGGGACGACCCUGGAUUCACGACAUCGGAGCGGUCCCCUCAACCUUCAUCAGAUGGUAAAAUUCNNNNNNNNNNNNNNNNNNNNNNNNNNNNAUCAGAUGGUAAAAUUCCCUACACCCUGGGGCAUCAGAAUAAUUAAGGGAGAUCAGGAGAACUCUCGAUCCUGUUACCAGACCACCUUGAAGGGGAAGAUAAAUGUCUUAUAGCAAUUACAUAAAAGACCUCGGACCCCGCAGACUCAGGGACCAGAGGUCAAAGAUACAAGAAAUUGGGGAUCGGUCCAGACAAGCCGGACUCUGGAUCAUUCCAAGAACCCGAGGAAUCCUCGAAGAACCUAUGUCGACCGCUCCGCAUGGUCUCCUCCGAAGCCCUUCAAAGUUGCUUCUGCUCGCAAGACAAAAUUACCAAGAACCUUAUCAGGUAUCAGUCAGUGGUCUCACAGAUAAGCAAAUGGGGCCUGAGUACUCCAAGGAGACUUCCUCAGAAGAUACAUCAGACGGGUCUAGAGCAAAGGGCGCCUCGCAGACACAGGCUGGAGAAACUUAGCCAGGCAGGGGACCUCCAAGCCUGGCGCUCCAGUGGAUGAAUCUGACUACACAUUUCAUGGAGAUGCUUAAAACCUUCAUCAGCAGGAAACGGUGGUCCCUGAGCAAUAAAGGCCGGGGCAUGAAACAAAUCUCAACCAUGAUACCUAGACCCAAGAAAGAAGCAGAGCUCUGCAGAAGAGGAGGAACCCUCCAACAAGGAGGCUCGUUCCAAAAGCAAGUCAAAACCUGCGGGUCACCUAGCAACAAGAGGUAAAACAUGUCCUAACCACCGGGGUACCUCGCAAGCUGAUAUCUUGGACGGGCUCCGGACCAUGAUUUCUAUUAAUUAUCUUAUCUUUUAUUUAAGCAUUAUGUUUCCUACUCCUAUGUACGCUGAAACGUCUCCGGACAAAGCUUAUAUAAUAAAAUAGUUCCGACUAUAAAAAGAGUAGUAGGAAUGCCAUAAUACUUAAAGGGGCAAAUGAGCUGGAUCAGGUCCAAGAGACCUUCGAUCCUCGCAAACCCUUAAUGAUAAGUGGUAUGACCACGAAAAAACAAAACGGGUAUGAGACAUAAGGUAGGAAUGGGUCUGCGCAAAUGAUAUAUGGUGUUUUAGACAUCUUAUAUAUAUGCUUUACAAUCGGUUUUCAUGUCUUUAUCGAGUCUUCCUAGUCCUUUUCGAGUCAUUACAGGUCUUGCAUUGGAUGGGAGAUGGACCAGCUGGAACAAAAGAGGCAGAAAACAGUGCAAUUUGGCGAUUUUCACGCAAAACAGUCUUGAUGACUGUUCCUGGUCGAGCGGAACAACACGAGUGCCUGUUCCAGCGGCAUAGAUUUUUAAGGAAACUACAACCUAUUUCGGGAUUUGCCCUAAUCUCUCUAUUUUCUCUCCCAGAUGCCUGUGGCUCUGAUAUAUCUUCUUUUUCUGUUUCUCCUGAUUAUUCUACACUAUUUCUUGGAGAAGAAACCAUACUCUAGAACUCCAUUGUUGCGAUUUGCUACCUUGAAAAGGGAGACAGCUCCAUCUCUCUCGUCUAGAGAAGAUUACCCUGAACCCUGUUUUUGUUUUUGUUAUUCUUAUGCAGUAUUAUUCAGUAUUGAUGCUUGUGUUUUCUUGUGUCAUGGCUGAGUAGUUGGCUAGCUAGUCUGGGGUUCUAUUGUGUUAAUCAUGUGAGCUAAACAUAGAUAAGUGAAUCAUAUUAUUGUCUUCAUUCAUAUCCAUCCUUACUGCUUGCAUUAAUCUGGCCGCUUAAUGUUAGAUCCUAAGUUUAACAUGUUCAUUAACCGUGUAAUAGGUUGCUAGAUCUGUUAUGAAUGAGCCUAGCAUCCCUAAUCAGCGAAAGUAGAUAUUAGGGUGUUUGGUGAACCUAUCGGACUUGAUCUCUAUUGCUUGCUGUCACGUCUUGAUCCAAACGAGAGUUUAGGUAUCAAGAUCGAUCAGCAUAGGGGGCAGUUCCACGACAGUGGGCUAUUCUACUUGAGUGAUCCGGGUUCUGGACCUGUUCUUAUAGCGCUUGAAUAAUUGUUUAUCUCACAAGUAUUAGCAAUUGAUGAAGUAACCCUAGGCUGGCUUCUUUUAAGUUGAAUUUACAUUUACAUUACUUUAUUUGUUUUGCACGUUACCCACAAAUCAAAUCCCCAUCAUUGUUUUAGCUAAAUCAAGAACUCAUAAGAAUAAAGUGUAAACUGGUCCUCUGGAAUUGAAUCUCAAAUAUUACAACACUACUUUUGUUUGCAGUAGGAAAGACACAAUUUUAGUGUAUCAGCAAACCUGAGUAUGCCGUCAAUACUACCUAAAACCACUGUAUAGCCUCAGGCAUAUUGGGGUCCAAAACAAAAAUACCAAAAAUGUGAAAGUACCUGUAUUAAAACGCUACGUGCUAGAAUAAUACUUGAGACAUGUGGUAUAAUUGCCAUUGAGCAAGUGCAAAAGUACGGGAGCACCACAUAAUACUCUACUUCUCCAGACGUGGAAAGUAGCAAAGUCUGGCACUUGAAUUUUCACCCAUACCAGCACCCUCUAAGUCUGAUAGUGGCUUCCUGCAGAAAGCAGAAUGCAGCAUGGGAACUCGAUAGUGACCAGCUUCCGAUCAGUAGAAUGCGAUACCCCAACAGGUACCGGGAGUGGCCUCACCUAGGAUGGCAGAGUACAGUCCUUUUAAAACCUUAAUUCCGGGUUCUGAGAAAGAACUCCGGGCUCAGACAGGCCUCAUGGCCAAAAACCUAUUUGGUUCCCUAAAUAGACUUCAGGGUCCAAAAACCAUGUGUCAAACUCAAGACCUCAGGGUCCAGAACCCACAGGUUCCCCAAAACGACCUUCGGGUCCUAAGCUUAUCAGAACUCUCCAAGUGACUCCAGGGUCCUAGAGGAGAUCCAAUUAUGCGAGGCCAAUAGGGUCACCUAAUCAUUACAGGGUCUGGAGGGUCCAUAGGUCCUCUGACGAUUGUGACAUCUGGAGCCCAUACAGCCCAGGUCCUGUAAGAGACCCUUGAGCAAUCAAACGCUUACCUUGACAGCCCUUCGACUACAAUUUAUGAGUCAAGUCUCAAAACCCCAAGUUCAUCCUACAACCUGCAUUCUUUCGAAUGAGAAGCAAUACGAGUAUCAUCUACGAAGCUAAAACAAGCAAACAAAAAAAUGCGAAUCCGGAAAGCAUAAACCAAAAGGCCACAACAGGGCCAUCGUUUGAAAGAAGCAAAAUAAAAGAGGCACAAAGGCCUGGUUAGAAGUUUUUAACCCUUAUCAAGGGCAACUACAAAAUGAAACCCCUUCACGGGGAUUAGAGCUCUGGAACGAGAAGAUCAGUCGGAAGAAGGAUCAUCAGCAGGCUCCGGCGUGUCAACCCUCUCAGGAACUUGCGGCUCAUCAUCAAAGCAAGGAACAGGAAGACCAAGGAGCUCAGCCUCAGUAGUCUUCACGGUCUUAUAUUGAUCCAGGGCCGCUGCAGGCUUCCAGCUGUCAGUCUGAUGACGAAGCCAUUCUCGCAUCAACUCCCAACGGACCAUGACCUUUGCACCGUUUACGGCCAUUGCCUUCUCAGUAUCAAAGACCUCUGCGGCGUACCUCAAUUCGCAUAUGUCCUCUUCCUUGUCUUCCAACUGUUUCUGCAGAGAAACAUUCUCCGUUGUCACACGCUCCAUGGCCUCUUCCUGAUGCUGUACUGCGAGCUUCAAGGCCUUAAUUUCCUUCUCUUUGGCCAAGACAGCACCUUUCCCCUCACGCAGCUGAGCGGUCAGCGCAUCCACCUCAGCCUUGGCAGUAGUCUUAUCCUCCAUCCUCUCCCCAAGAUGGAAUAAUUGAGAUGCCGCCUGCAUCAACAUAACCCAACCCAUAAAGAAAGACGUUGCCAAGGCAAGACAAAGAAUACGGUACGUUACCUGGAGUAGAUCACCCUGAAAAGAGCGGAGGGCCGCGAAGGAGUCCCCAUCCAACGACAGAUGAGCAAGAACCAAAGGGAACACCUUCGCAUUCAAAUUGAACAAUACUGCGGACCAGUCAAAAGAAACAGGAGAAAGGGUUCUGGGAACAGAGCCUGAAGCCCUAAACCUUUUCUUGGAGGAAGAAGGAGCUGCAGCAGCAGCCAUUCGACACCUACAACUACCCACAAACUGGACAUCUUCAUCUUCAAUAGGAGCAAUUCGCUUGACUGCAGCCUUCCUUGCAGACAUCGCCUCAAGAGCUUUCUUAUACUCCGCCAAGGCCUCGUUACCUCUAGAGCCCGAUAUCACGCCUGGAAGACAGAACCAACCUGACUUAAAUUCAUGAAAGAAAAACAGGAAGAGAGAAGACAGAAAGCUUACCUCUAAUGCUACACCGAUCUAGUUCUUCGUCGCUUACAAGAAAUAAGACUUCAAGGCGUUCAAGGGGAAGCUCCAACAACUGCUCGAUCGUAUCCCUUCCUGAAGGAUAAUCCAAGCGAGAUACGUCUUCAUCAGAAGAAGUCAUCAGCAUCAGACGAUUAAAGAAAGUCAUGACAAUUUCUACGACCCACCAGCUGCACACCAAAUGGGAGAGAAUCCAGGAAAAGGCAUAAAAGAGAAUUUCGAAGUCCAACGCCCCUCGAAGACGGGGCAACGUUUUCUCUCAGCCGUCGAAAGCUCCCACACAGGAAGCACUUUUCCAUGAGGACGUAAAUGAUACCUGAACUCCCCACCAUUCAAAGGAGAACUAGAAUAGCAAUAUAGAACCUUAGCGAUUCCGACGGCAAAACCCUCAAGAUCACCAAGAUUCUGUAUAGGUAUCAAGUUCCUCCAAGAAGGAGGAUUCAGCUGUCCAGGGGAGAUCCUCACUGCCUUUGAAAUCUCGGCCACCAAAGAAGGAAUCUGGUCUCUGAAACCUGACUCGAAGAAACCGUCAUAUAUAUGGAUCUCACCCGGCUCUAAAUCUGAAACCUUAUCAAUGGGACCAGGGAUCCGAAUAGUAACAUCGUCGGAAUGAUGAAACUUCCUUCUCUAGUUUGCAACCUCCUCUACUCCUAAUACCGAUAGAGGACCCACCGGCAAAAGUCUGUCUCCUCCCAUAGGUGGCAGAGCUUCUCCAGCAGUAGCAUUCCUGAGUUCCUCUAUUUCGGCGGUAAGAUCCAGAGAAGAGCUUGACGAAUCCAUGGACUCGCAGACCUCGUUCCAACCCUACGACUUGAAUGAACCCUAGUACAUAUUGAAGAAGAGCCGAGGACGAUAUCAAAUCCGUCUAUCAUCCUAGAAGGUUCGGAGUAAAGGAUGUGGAGAAAAAGAGUGUUACCCGAGAAAAUGAAGGAUUUAGGCCUGAGCAAUAGAGAUCGCGCGAGAUUUCGGUGAGAAAGAAAAGGAAACCCAAAAUUCCGGGCAGCGAAAACAGGGGAACAAAAUCAAAAACCCUAAGAUUGACUUACACGUGUCGGAAAGAUGAGACUGCGCGGGAAAACGAGUCUCAAAGCAUGAUAAGGGAACUUAUCCCUCGGACUUAGGGACCUGAAAAAUUAACAGGACCUUGAACAGCCCGUUACCAGCAUCAUCUCUCCGUUCUCUCCAGACUGUACGCAGCUUAGUAUCAGAAUUCUCGCCUCAUUAUCUCCAGAAGAAAAAAUAAGCUACUACUAGACUCCGGUCAAACACGAAGGAACCGACCCUCACCUGGGUUCAGAAUGAGUUCCGGCUUGAGUGGAACCUAGGAUAGCAGGAUCAAUGGAACGGGGUCCUGCCUAAGGGAAGCCUGCUGAGAAUGAGCAACCCCUGUUGACUGGAGUGCACAGGUUAUCCCCCGACUUCGAUGACGAAAUCGAGAAAUAAGGGGCAAACUGUUGGGGAAAAAUACUACGGUAUCAUUUCCUCCAGCCUCCAGGCAGGAACCAGACCCUCGGGUCCCCGAUAAGGGAACGCUUCAGGUCCCUGCUAGAAGGAACCUUGAGUUCGGUCCCUGGAACGAGCUCCCUUCCAAAAAAUGGAAAACUUCCGAUAAGGAGAAUCUUCCAUAUUUCCGAAUAUGGAAGAGUUUAACCUAAGGAAACCGACUCCUAGACGACUAUAUGAGGACUACUAAAACCCUAAAGCGAGGGAUCGACUUCCCCAAGGCUUAGAAACUAGAACAAGACGGCUAGAACUAGGGUUCUUAUUCAAUACUUUGUAACCUCUCUUGUUAUUGCUUACUCUAUCUAAUAAAAGUCUCUUCAAGCCUAUCUCUUUACUAUCCUUCCUAAAUCCUCACAAAAUACCUAUAAACUUACCCGGUUUACCAACUUGUCCAACCUUCCGUA
rnacentral:lncRNA from 1 species